rnacentral:lncRNA from 1 species
UUGAUGCCACACACUCAGAUGUGUGUUCAUCUCCAGAUACUACUCCAUGCUACCUGCCCUUUGUGUUUUGUUCAAUAACUGGGUAUCAUAUCCCAGCCAGUAUGCCGUCUGUUUUGUGUUUGUUUCCUUCUAGUUCCAAAGGGGUCAUCAUGAUGUUACCUUCUUUCAAUAUGGUGCUUUGCAUGACUACUGUUGUAUGGUACCAUCUUGUGGCCAAUAAGUACAUCUUAUCCUAUGACCUUUGCUAUGACCCUUUGCAAAUAAGUAGAAGAUUGUUAUAAGCGUCAAUACUCCGUAUAAAUUGAUCGCUGCUGUGAGUUCCCUUUCAGCUUAUCGUAGGCAUACAUUAUUGCUAGCACGGUAAAGCCAACCAACACGAAUGAUGAAGUAAACGUAGCGGUACUUCUGUAUACCAACACCCUUACUUAAAUGUACCGGUGUCAUUCCCUACUGGCACAUAUAUUCUUAUAUGCUAGCCAGCUUGUAAAAUUAACCAAUUAAAAUAAUUAUUUCAAGAUAGAAAUAACUUAUCGGUUUCUGGAAGCAUGUGUAAUGUGAAUUCAAGGACUCGACGGAAGUUGAAUCACUUCAUCUAUAUUGCUUUCAGUAUUUUGGGUAACUAAAUUUAACAUUUGCACAUACAAAUGUUAAAGUACAAAUGUUAAAUCUAGUUACCCAAGCAGAAUAUGAAGAUAGUUUAUAGUAUAUAUAUACUAUAUAAAUCUAGUUAACAUUUAGUCUAAAUGUUAAAUCUAGUUACCUAAAAUCCUGAAAGCAAAAUGUAUAAAUAUAUAUCUUUUAAGGCAGUAUAAGCUUCGAUUCCUAUUGCUGCUCUGUUAAAUCUCAUCUUUCGUUGUGGCCCAACACUCUAGUAUGCAUGUUGCACCAAGCUUCUUUGAGCCGCUCUGCCCUCUGAUUUUGCUGCGUAGGGGAAUCUUUAUCAGGUUGGGCUACUUCCAGUUGUGCGAUGUAAAGAUUCGUAUUUUCUAGAAGGUAGACAAAAAACUCGCGUUCUCUUAAGGCAACAACCGGAAGAUUCUGCAGCGCACAGGGCAUACCAUUAUUGUAGAAACGACCUUUAGUACCGAUCUCCAACCCCCUUUAAAACUGGUUUUGCAACCGGUACCGUUAUGUCGGUCCUUUAGUACCAGAUCAAAUAAGUACCGGUUGGUAACCAGUAUCAACUUGUUUUGCGGCCAAAAAAAUAAAGAAAAAAACAGUCAGAAGGCUCGCGCACACGCGCAUCACAUGAAAUAUGCGUGUGCGGGGUCCAUGGGAUUCGAACCCAUGAAAUCAAGCUGCGCGCGACCCUUCGUUACCAUCUCACCUACAUAGCGCAUAUGCUUUCCUGAAGUAACCCGUGGAGGAGGCUUUAGUACCGGGUCAUAACACCACCCGGUACUAAAAAUGACUCUUCAGUACCGGGUCAUAACACCACCCGAUACUAGUAUCGGAUGGUGUAAUGACCCGAUACUAAAAGGCCUCUAGGGACCCUCAAAUUUGAACCCGGUACUAAUGCUAAUAUUAGUAGCGGGUCAAAGUGCAGCCAGAACUAAAGCAUGGGAUGAAAGGUCAUAUUUCUAGUAGUGUAUAGUUGUUGUGAAGGACUGACUUGGCUGUCCUCUCUCUUCUCCAUCCCCUUGGUCUUACGCCGCCGCUCGCACGCGAGCCGGUGCCCAACCAGAGGAGUGAGAGCUAGGGGCAGGUUGGGAGGUGGGGAUAGUGACUGGUGGCCAGGGUGAUGGUUGAUCCUGGUGGGGUUAGGGUUUUAGGGUUUUCGAGCUUCCUAUGGUCGGCGAACCUAGAGGAGGAGCUCAACAUCAGCUGCAACCCGCGAUGGUGGUGGUUUGGCCGGCGCCCGAGGCGAGGCAGCGCGGGAGUGCUGCCGGUGGGUUGGUGUUGGCACUCAUUAUUGACAACUAUUUUGUUCAUAAAAUAACACUCAAACUUGCUGCUGCUGCUGCUGCUGCCAUCGCCACCCUAGCCAUAAUAUAAAGGCAAAAUUUGCUAAAGGACAUGCAAAAUGAUGCUAGUUUGCUGGCGGGCAUCGUUGACCUUGUAAUAUGCUACAAGACACUCUAGUUGUGUAUCAAUUUGCUGAAAGACAUUGCUAUGACUAAAAUAAUGUUUCUGGACUGAGUUGGAGAGAGAGAUGGAGUGAAAUGUCUGUUUUGCCCAUGACCCCACUGGUCAGAUCCUUCUUCUUCCACCCUCCUUUGUUCUUUCUUCAACCAUUACCCAGCUCCAGCGUGUUGCAGAUCUACGAGGGUGGCGGCCUGGGGCGAGGGGCAUCGCUCGCCCUUGGAGGAGCGCUGCGAGCGACGGCGCGGGGGCGGCAACAGCGCGUCAGAACCUGACUGUUCGUUAGCUCCUCUCGCUGCUGGGGAAGGAGGGGGAUGGGCCAUGGACGGGGUUCCCUUGAAAACCUCAGCGUCGAGCUCGGGCGGCUACGCGCAGGCAGCACUAGGCUGCUUCACGGGGAGGGGGCGCGGCCAAUCAUUGGCACCCCACUGGUCCAAUGCUGAUGAAGAUGGUGCCAGCGUCGUGUGAGGACAUCUCAUCUCCUCGAGUUCCAUGGCCAGCACAGGUGAGCUGCCGCUACCACAAAACAGAGGUUUCGUGAGAGUCAAAAAACCUUAUGAAAAUAGCUAAAACCAUCAUGAAAAUAAUCCGUGACAUGACACUCUCACGAAAAUCCUCUCACAAAUAUGGUGCCAUGAAAAUACCAUUUUCAUGAGAGUGAACUGUCAUGAUUUUAUUUCGUGAGAGUAUUUCCUAUCAAUGACCUCCACGAAAUACUUUGUGCCACCAGGUCUUCAAGAUCAUUUUCAUGAGAGCUGAACAUCAGGAAAAGUCCGCCACAAAUGUUUUUCUUGGAGCCCCUAACUCUCAUGAAAAUCAUGCGGGCCGCCACGAAAAACAGCAUGACCAAAUGACAAAUUUCAUUUUCAUGUGUUCAUACCGCCAUGAAAAUGGUCAUUUUCAUGAGAGUUGAUGAAACAAAAAAUAGUGCCAUUUUCAUGAGAGUUCAAGCAACCAGGAAAAGACACUAAUAAACAUCCAGAUCCCAUCCAGCACACAUCCAUGCACAUAUAUAACCCACAUAUUGCUCCAGCACACAUCCAUGCAUAUACAAGAUCCAAAUGUUAAUAUAGUAGACAUCCAUGCCUGAACUAGUCUGCCACACAAGUCAUUGAUGCUACAAAUCCUACAAUCGCAGCAUGUGCAUACAAGUCACAGAAUGAGACAAUGUACCCAAAACUAAAAGGUUAGCAUCAACUGUGCUUCAACCAAAGUUGUCAUCCCAACUCUCCUCUUCAUCCAUGCCAUUCUUGUCGUGGCCGUCACUGUCAGUCCCCAUGGCAUUGCCAAUGCUGUGCAUGUCUUGGUAGGAACCUACAUGUGAUGAACUAGUAACCUGCAAAAAGAGCUCAAAGGAUCUUGUUCUCAUAUUGUAGCUGUGAAAUUCUUACAAGUAGUGUUGCAAUCAGUUCACUUUGAACCAAAAGAGCUCAAAGGAUCUUGUCCUAAAAGUUCCUCAUAAAGCUUAUGGGUUUGCUGGUGGAACUGGAAGGGCUUGAUGCAGCAGAUGCCAUUCUGCAAUAGAGAAAAAUUUAGAGAGCAGUACUAGUUAAAAUUGGAUGCAGAAGAUACACAUGAAACUAGUAUUUAUACAAGUCUAUACAAUUAAAAUCUAAGGAGACUUAUCAUCGUUUUCAUGUGUUGUGAAUUAAAAUAAUGAAGGAUACACUGUUAGGUGAAAAUUCAAGAAACAAAAUUUUGCAUAGAGAUAAAGGUCCAACAUUAUUACAAGUUAAGGUAGUUUUAAAUAUCCUUGUAAUCUUCCUUUGGUUUCCUCAACGAUUCGAAGACAAUAACCUUGCUUCUAUCAAUGAUAAUUAUAAGGAGAAUCCAGUGGAAACUGUGUAUUCGUAUUAGAACUACCUAAGGUUAAUUAGGUUAGGAAAGGAAAUUGAAAAUAGAUGGUACCCACACUUACUUAAAGUUGUCGGGCAAUAGUAUGUAAUGCUUGUAAUUCCGUUGCUCCAAGAAUUUGUAUAUGUGGUCCAAUGUAGACUUUGGUUGAUCCCGUAUCUGCUGUUGGUUAAAUAAGUGUUUCUAGCCAUUUCUAGCCAUUAGAACCGGGACUAAAGGGGGCUCUUUAGUACGGGUUGAUAUUACUAACCGGGAUUAAAGAGCCCCCAUUAGAGUUGGUUUUUGGAUGCGGAACUAACAACUCCUUUAGUCCUGAGUACGAAAACAACUGACAUAUUUGUUGCUGGAUGGAAGGUCCUUUCUCUACCGUGAAUAUUGCCAGAAAGAAUUGAAAGAGACUGCUUGCUAAAAAUAUGUCAUAGAUGUAGACCAAGCUACCAAGGAGGUAGACCAAACAUGAUACACACCAUGCGUACCUUGCUGUGCAGACUAUGCAUUGACAAGAUACCCGACCACAUGUUGGCCUCGGUCACAUCAAAAGAAUCAUGUAGGCCACCAAUAAACUACUUGAAGCGGCAUUCCGUAUCGUAUAUGCAUUGCCGGUUCAUCUGCAUUACAUUACAUAAAGCACUAUUAACUAUUUGAAUAAAAUGAACCAAUUUAAAAGUAAUGUGUUGUACUCUACUAUAGAAAGCCCUAUCACUGCCGGAUCCAAAAACAUCAUUGUUAAUGGUGGUUAAGUACCAAAUAUGACGGUCAAUAUUCUCAAGAAUAAUGGAGAAUUAGCAUUUCUUAGACACAUAUUUGGUUUUGAACAAUGUAGUUCCACAUGUCUUUGGAGAUUAUUUGGGUGUGGGUGAAAUAAUACAAAAAUAAGGAGAAAACACACUCCCAUGGCGAAGAAACACAACUCCAACCAAUGAGAGAUAGCCACAGGGGCAGCACACGGAUCCAUGGGCCCACUAACCGCAUCAAACCAUCUUACCAAGGCAGGUAGCACCCACAACCGUCAUUAGGACCCACCUGGAAGUCUACCAAGAAGAAGGUUGCGAGUGGGGCCAGGAGGGGUUCGGUUGAAUCAUCUCUAGCUAGCUCCCCUCAUCCCCAGCUGGUGGGUGGUGGUGGUUGAUGGUGUCCCUACAUCAGUUAGAGGAGAUUCCCCCAAAUAUUCCUCCUGUAAACCACCUCUAUGGACCUAUACAUAGAGGGGUGUGCUCUCCAUUCCAACACACACCACAAGUUGAAUCACUCUCUCCCUCUUUAGUUUCCAAGUUUAUGGAGUUAGGCUAGAGUAGCUCUGCUCAAGGUUCCAAGUCCACUUGGAGUUAAGCAUAUGUCUCUUGUAUCGUUAUUUCCUAAAUUGACUUUAUGCUUAGUUCUUAUAUGCAUGAGUUAGUCUAAUACCCUUGCUAUAUUGAUAUGCUCGGCUUAUAUGCUCGUAUGCUAGUCAUAUACCCUUGCUGUCGUAGUAUAGGCUUAUAUGCUCUCAUGUGUGCCUGUAGACCUUGCUAUAGUAUAUACUUGUUGUGCAUACAUACCAUGUAUAGGCUAGUCGAUCUAUACCAUGGCAUUGGUUCAAUAGCCAUGUUUUUGGUGGCUCCAACCCUAGUCACAAUAGCUCGGGACAGCUGGAGUGUUGUUAAAAAUGCAAGAGUGGUGCUUGGGUUGUUUAGCAUCGUUGGAUAUGGGUUUGCCCCACGGGUUUCUAACGGUAGGCGGCAGCUAGUGACAUCCCUGUCCGUCCUUCGUAAUCCCCCCACAUUCAGGUACGCCAUAAAUGUUCGUAAAUUAGCAGUAACUACGCCGGUACACCUGUAGGGUAUUGUCUCCCUGUAGUACCUUGGUGCAUAGAACUAAGUCCUAUACACUGUGUGUGUAUGUUUACGCUGAUAUGAUCUGUGCAGUAUAUAGGAUGUAUAUAUGAACCUAGAGCUAACUCCUAGUCCGUUCUCCAUAGCUUAGUUAUCUUGAGAUGAUUCUUCUGUAUGUGUAACACUACCCAUCUUAUCAUUAUCCUUGAUCCUGUCUUGUGUAAUAUAUCUACUCAUCCUAUGAUAUACUCAUAUGCAUAGUAAACUAUUUUGACCUACCCGCCUUCCUUUGGGAAAUAUGAUACCUUGGAAUAAUCCUAGGUGAAAUCCUACAACGGUAUAUCCAUGUAAAUGCGGAUUUAUUCAUGACCAUUAAAUAUACCAACAAUCAUCACUGUGAGUUUUGGGCGUCGUUAGUGAAGGGUUGGUAGUGAUGGGCAUCCCCUUCACCAAUGGACCUGGAACCGGCGGUGAUGGCUAUUAUAAAAAAGGGGACACCACCCAGCGUACCCCACGACCCGGCCGGCCGCACCUCCCAUCAUCCCCGCCAGCCGCCCUUCCUUUUCGCCGGCCGAGCAUGGUCCCGGCCUUUGUCCCUACCACCUCGCCUCCACCGCGACCCCCCGCCGAUGCCCUCGUGCCUGGCCCCCCUCAUCUUGCCGGCCACCCUCCCGAUGCGUCCACUGGGGCCCUCGCACCACCAACCGCCCUUGCUUAGAGAGGGAGAGAGAGGAGGGAGGUGAGGCCACGCACCUCGUCCUACACCGCCGCUGUUUCUCCUCGGCCCACCGCGCCUCACCCCACACCACAGCCGCGCCUUGCCAUCUUACCGGCUGUGACGCCUCAUCUCACCGGCCACCGUUCCUCACCCCCACUUCGGUCGUCGCCGCUCCUUGCCCUACCGCUGCUCUUUGCCGCUGCGAAUGAGCGCCGAGUGGAGGAGGAGGGAUGGGGCAGGAGGAGGGCAAGAUCCGGGAGGAAGGGAGAGAUCUCGGGAGGUGGAGAUGGAAGGAUAUGGCGGAAGGGAGAGAUCCAGAGGGAGAGAGCAGGGGAGAGAGGGGGGCGUGUGGGGAGAGAGCGCGUGUGGGGUGGGGCCGGGCUGGUGGGAUGGAAGGGAGAGGGGCUAGACGGGCGCAGUGCAUUCAACUGGAUGAAGUAAAUAUUUUGGAUUCGAGACCCCAGCUUUAUUAUCACCGCUGGUCCGUAGUACCAUCCGGUGCCUGCUCGUAAUUUAAUUUGAAUCUGCGGUGAUGUUUUAUUAUCACCAUCGGAUCAUAUAAAAAUCCGGCGGUUAAAAAUCCGCUGGUUUCGAUGAAAACCGACGGUGAUAGGAUGACUGUGAUAGUCUCUUCUCUAGUAGUGGUAUAUUAGUACCGGCUGCCGGAUGGUGUUGCCGACCAGUACUUCUCCGGGGGCGAUUCAGUACUGCUGUUAGCAAAGCUUGUUCUCUAUGAAUUUGGGGAUGGAAAGCUAGUUCUCUAGUUGUGAUUUGUUACAUAUAUAUCUAUGAUAGUCUAGAAAUUGCAUGUCCUUCGUUGACAUAGUUGAAGCUGCUUCAAGAAUUUACUUCGUGCAGUCGUGCAGCAUAUUGGAUUAUCACCUAGACAGGAUACAUAGGUGAAGCAUUGGAUGUGAUUGUGGCCGAUAAUUAUGCAGGACGCUGUUGCAAUCAACCACCAAGAAGUCUGGAGUGAUGGGGUUGCCUCAUCAAUAAUUUUUAUAUAUGGCUGCAGUAUUAUUAAGCCCACGUCAAUAAUUUUUUGUCCGCACCAUAUAUCGAUGGGGUUGCCUCAUCAAUAAUUCGCGCAACCAGACAAGCUGCAGACUCAAUAUGGUACGAAGCUAGUUGCUCAGCCCACAUGCUCUGAUAUAACAUUGACAUCUGCUGAUCUACAGUAUAUAUGACCAGAAAUAUUGUGCCCACCUCAAUAACUUUCUGAAGUAUCGUGGGGAAGAACCUACGCGUACUAUGCCUCGGAACUAACUGACAUAUCGGCCCAGGCGGUCUAGGCCGAUUGGACUGGCUCUUCCUUGUGGCUUCUCACAUCCCCUUCGUCCCCAAGUAAUUUCAGGUGUUCUGUAGUUUUCUUUUCACUUGCAUCUGAGCCUCCUAUAUCAAUAGCUUCGGGAUAAGAAUGCCUCUUGAUAACCUUCCAAAUCCUCGCUUGAUUCACAUUGAUUCCGAAAUCAUCUUGCCAUAUCUUCAGAGACUUAGGUCCUAAGGCAUCAUGGAGGAUUGCUCGCCAAGAAUGAGCACCAUUGGGCUCCUGAGGACCCUAGGCCGAUCAGCCCGGGCUCUAUAGGUCGAUUGGCCCAGGCCCUCUCUGGGCCUGUUGGCCUUCAUCUUUCUUUGAGUCGACGCUUAUUCAGGGCUUUGUCCAAUUAUAGUCCAUUAUAGUCUAAUUUCCUAAAAAACAGAAUGUCCUCCAAAAUACAAUGCAUAUGUGAAAACAACCCAAUUAUUAGGUAUGAUCAAUAGUUUAGGUAUUAAAUUAAUAUUAUUAUUUAAGAUAAACAGGGGUAAAGGGUGUCAUUAAUAACAAGCGCCAACAAGCGUCCUAGCUGUUCAAUAAAUUUUUUCUAGUACCGAUUGGUAACACUAACCGGUGCUAAUAUGUACCCUUUAUUACCGGUUAUUUUACCAGGUACUAAAGGAGACAAGAGCAUCCUAACAUAAGGUUAAUAUCAUCCAUUUCAUGAGUAAAAUACUAUGAUUCAAAAAUAAUUCAAAUCCCUUAAGACAAUACCUAUCAAAUGAGUAAAUUGUAAAUAGAGUAAUCUUGAUCAAACAAUGUCCUAAUGAAACGGAACACUUCUGGUUCGUGUAGAGCACAAUAUAGAAAACAGUAGGGUAGCUGUAUGAUUGACACGUGGUCCAUUAAUUAUUGAGCCAACACUAUGGACAUGUCUUCAUGAGUAGUGUACUAGUCAUAAUACAUGGUAUGCAGUAGGUGGAGGUAUUGACUUAGCCAUGCUAUGAGCACUUAGUUACAACAAACACUUUGCCAUUAUCGAGCAUCCCAAAUCACUACAAAAUCCAUAGUUUACCAUAUACUACAAAAUCUGAGUUAAAAUAAGAGCAUACACGGAAGAGUCCGAAUGCACGGCACAUUGAAUUACUAGACAAAAUUUAUGGGACAAGGUUUUGGGUAACCGCAUGAAAAAUAUUGGAUUUUACUGAACACUUAGUUACAAUUACCAUGCCCGUGAGCACUUAGUCACCACAAACAUUUAACCACUUUAGAUCAUCCUGAAUCCCUAUAAAUUCUAUACCUUACACCGUACCAUGAAAACGACAAGAACAGAGACAGAUGCGGUGAAAAUCUCCAGAGCAAGCCUGAAAUUAAAAUAAGAGGAGGCAGUCACUAUCGACAGGACACGGAGAUUGCUAGCCAUGACAGAGGAAGACAUGAUAUGAUAUUCACCUCUGAAAUGCAGCGUAGACUAAAUGAAGCACAAUUGCAAGUGAGUGUGGCAGAUAAUGGACCAUCGAGACCAUCGAAUGGUAUGAAGCAUGAUUAUCACCUAGACAUGAUAUCCUAGACAGGACGGUGAAUUGUAAAAAGAGUAAUCUUGAUCAAAGAAUGUCCUAAUGAAACGGAACAUUUUUGGUACGUGUAGAGCAAAAUAUAGAAAACAGUAGAGUAGUUGUACGAUUGAAACUGCAUCCAUCGACGUGGUGCAUGAAUUGUUGAGCCAACACUGUGGACAUGUCUUCAUGAACACCAUCUAGUGAGGACAGCAUGCAGAAAAAUAUAAAAACAUGUCAUAGGGAGGCAGACCAAUCUUGCGAGGUAGACGAAACGUGAUACACGAUCUGCCUACCUUGUCGUGUGGAUACCCCAAGUGAAGAUGUCAUAGAGGUGCAGACCAAGCUAGCAAGGAGGUAGAUGAAACGUGAUACACGGCCUGCCUACCUUGCCGUGGAUAUUAGUCCUGAUAUCAUUCUAUUGUUCAAGGAAUAACACUCAAUGCUGCUGCUGCUGCUGACCUGGCUCCAUAAAGUUAUAUUCCUCUAGCCGCUUGCACUAACUUUAUCUGAAGUAUUAUUCUCUCUGCACUGUAUAUAUGGUUACGGAGUUUGCUGGAGUAUCCGGGGGGAAGAACCUACAUAAUAUGUCUUGGAACUAACUGACAUUGAUUCACAGACAAGGUGCUGUUGUUGACAUGGUACAGUAAAUAAUAUAGUUUACCAUAUACCGUAUACCAUUAUAUGUUAGCUAAAAUAAGAGCAUAACAUGUCGCAGGAGUCCAAAAGCACCGGUUGAGGACCAGGUACAUUAAAUUACUAGAAAACAAAAGGGGACAAGGUUUAGGUAGCCACAUGAAAAACAUUUGAAUUUACUGUACCAUGAACACUUAGUUACCAUGCCGGGAGCACCUAGUUAACACUAACAUUUAGCCACUUUAGAUCAUCCCGAAACACCAAUGACCCUCAAUAGCGACAAAUUUUGGUUUAAAUGCCGUCACCAAUGAUCCUCAAUAGUGACGUGUUUAGGUUUAAAUCCCAUCACUAAUAACCCUUGGUAGUGACGUGUUUUGGUUUAAAUCUCAUCACCACUGAUCCUCACUAGUGACGUGUUUUUAGCAACACACGUUAUGAAUGACUUGUCAUUGGUGACAUGUUAAACGCGUUAUCUCAAUGGCAAAUCAAUGGUGACGUGUUUAAAAAAACAUGUCACUGUGAGAGUUAUUGGUGAAGGGUAAUUAAAAUGCAUCACUAAUUUUGUAGCAUUAGUUAUGAUAUAAUUUUGUAACGCAAAAAUCUACCAUAGUAAUGAGGUUUAGAGCCAUCACUAAUGUGGGUUUCUUAUCGUAGUGAUGCAAGCUCUACAAGGUGCUGUUGUUGCCAUUUUAAAGCAUCCCAAAUGACUACAAGAGUCCGGUUGAGGACUAAACAAAUUGAAUUACUAGAACCAAAUGUAUGUCCAGAACAAAGAAAGGGGUCAAGGUUUGGGUAACCGCAUUAAAAACAUUGAAUUUUACUGUACCAUGAACACUUAGUUACCAUUACCAUGCCUUGAGCACCUAGUUACCACAAACAUUAAUUUAGCCACUUUAGAGGUUCCACAAUCACUAUAAAUAAUAUACCAACACCGUACCAUGAAAACAUCAAGAAGAGAGACGGGUACAUGGACCACCAUCAAGUGAGUAGUGACAGCACGCACAAGAAUACCCGGAACCUUUUAGCUUGUCUGUAGUGAUCUGUUUUCUUCGCCACAAAUAAUGAAAGAGGCUGACCAAGCUAGCAACGAGGUAGAGCAAACGUGAUACACGUAGGUUUCAUUCAAGACAUCCAUGUAAGAUUCAUUCAAAACAUUCAUGGAAAUUUCUUGUAAGUUUUCAUGUAAAUUUCAUUCAAGACAUUUGUUAGAGGUGUUGUAUAUACACUUAACGUACAUAUAUCUAUGAUUUCAUGGUUGUUAGUGAUGGCAGAUGAGGAGCAUGCAAGGUGUUUAAUGGAGCAGAUUAUUGCUAGUGGUAGUGGCUCCAACCUGCCCGUAACGUACACCGACGAAGAGGGCAGCCAGGCGGACAUGUUCCUCAACAUGUCCGGUGAUGGCAAUGAAGAGCCCGAGCAAAACCUUGCCGUGACGGAAGGUUCCAUCGAGGUAUAUAUCAUUUCCAUUAUUUUACCCCAUCUAUAAUUUCAUAUUCAUUAUUACUAUGUGCUAAUUAAUGAAUCUUGAACCGUUAGUCCUCUAGAUCAACGAACCGAAAUAAGCCCCGAGGUCUUACAAAGAUAAUGCAGGGAAGGCUUCACAUCAUGGAAGUCACAGAAGAGGGCACAUCGGUUGCUCCCGAACAUGUGGCAAGAAAGUACGUGAGUCAAACCGGGGCAAUCGUAAGGGACAACAUGCCCAUCAGCAUCAGGGAAUGAAAGAGCAAUAGAAAUGAUCUAUACGCACCCCCGGAUACACAAAAGGAUAUGUUGUGGGCAAAUAUCAAGAAACACUUCACAUUUCCCAAAGGAUAUGUUGAAAAAUAUGUGAAAGCGUGGAUGUUGAAGAAGAUGGCCACCCAAUUCCAGACAUUCAAGAAGAUGUUGGAUGCCAACUUCAUCAAGAAGGGUCGAACUCCGGGUUUCAAUGAGUGGCCAAAGUUAAGGGACCACUGGGAGUCGUUUGUCGAAUACAAGACGAGCGAAGGUGGUGCGAGUAAGGUUCACAUCAAUGUUGCCAAUGCUAGCAAGGAGUACCAUCAUCAUCUAGGGCGACGUGGUUACAGCUCUGCAAUUCCCAGAUGGCGCAAGAUGGAACAAGACCUGAUCGAUCGGGGUAUCGUACCAGCAACUCUUGACUGGAUCGAUUGAAAAAUUGGUAUUAUGCUCAUGAAGGCAAUCUGAGCCAAGAGGAUCCGACAUUGGUCUUCAAUAAAACAAUACGUCAGAAGGUCGGAAGGCUUAUUAGGAACAUUGAAGAUGCUAAAGCUGGGAGGUUCAAGGUGGAUAGAGAGAAUGAUGAACUCACAUUGGCCCUCGGGACUGUCAUCUCUAGCACUUCCAGCUCCAGGACUAUCGUCACCACCGGGACCGUCGCUUCCUGCUCGAUCACAGUCUCCAUCUCCAGCACAUCCUGGUGGUGCGAGCGACGACGACAACAACACCCCUCCCUGCCCACCAUUGCCGGGACUAAGACCCGCAUUGAGUAAGGAACCUGCAACACCACUGAAGAAGUCGCGACCACCACCUUCAAGGCAAGUCAGCAAAAGAAGAAAGCAGAGAAGCCUAAACCCACUGAGAAGCCAGCGACUGAUAUGACCGAUGCGGAAAGAUGGAAGGCACUCAAAGAAGAAUGCAGGGAGUGGUUCAGCGAAGGCGAAGGUGAGAAAGUCGUAUGAAUCGAAUUCAAGGAUAUAUAUGAAGUGAACCAUCAGGAUGCCCUUGAUGUCUCUCUCAUCAGCGCCUAGGUUCUGUAAGUGUAUGUUUAUCUAUAAGUAAAUUUUGGCUCAUAUCAUUAUUUUUUUUGCGUGCGUCACCCUACUAACUUCGUCUUCCAUUUUAUGUAGGAUGCUAAUUCAGACGUGCCGCAUAGAAGCGUACUUCCAUGUUGGAUUCAUGGAUCCAUCCCUAGUUAACCAAAAGCCGAUACGGAAGUAGCUAGAGAAAACGUUGGAGGUGGUGUACAACCUCCUGGACAAACUAAACUACAGAAUAGGGGCAAUAUGUGAGGGUCUUGUAGGAUUCCUAGUGGACGAGGUGAUAAAUCCAUAAGGAGAAUAUCAUUCCAACGGACGAGCAUUAGACACACUGAGCAACACCUAGAUGGGAGGAUCCUAGGAAUGACCUCGACAGAUUUUGGUAUAAAUAGUAAUUGUGUAAAUACUAGUUUGAUUUGUAUAGGAAUAUACUAAGAAUUGUAUAUAUAGUAAUUGUACAAAUACUAGUUUGAUUUGUAUGAAUACUAGAUUGAUUUUAUUAUAAAAAAGUUUUAAGUCGUACGUGCAUGCGCCUACAAAGGCGCGGAUGCCUUUUAAUCCCAGUCGGAAAAACAAACUGGUACUAAAGGGGCUCGUGCCGCACCUGGCAUGACCACCCCUUUAGUCCCGGUUGAACGACCCAGGACUAAAGAUCUCCGCGUCUCAAAAAUUUUAUCUCGGAUGCUUUUUAGAGAGAUUUGAGGCCUAUCAACCAAGACUAAUAUCGAGUUUUCUACCAGUGAAACUAACUAACGUUCACAUGGUUUUGACAUUCACCUGCCAUUUGGUGUAGACAAGGGCACCCUAACAUAUGGUUAAUAUUAUUCUUGAAAGAAAAUCCUUUGAUUCAAAAUACUUCAAACCUAAUAAUACAAUACUUCUCACAUCUGAAAAAUAUGAGACGGCCCGACAGUAUUCUAAUCGACGCAAUAAUAUUUUGAGGGCAGCACUACUACAGCGACCCUCAUUCGUGCCGGUGCUGGGACUCCUAUCACGACCCUGAUACAAAUGAGGGUACAUUAUUGGUGCCAGUGCUAGAACAGCCACGAAUAACUUGCUAAACGUGCUGUUACACUCACUACAGGGACCAAGAAGGUAGAUAAAUUACACGACAUAGCCUUGGUUGCCGUGGAAGCGCCAAGAAGGGAGACAAAUUACAGGGACCACACCAUCAAGUAGAUAGUGACAAUAUGCAAAAGAAUACCCGCGCCUGUUAGCAUGUGAACUGACCACACCACGAAACGUGAUACACGGCAAGCGUACCAAGGCCUUGCUGUGCAGACUAUGCAUGGACAACACAUGGUACCUGACCGCUUUUGGCCUCAGACACAUCGAAAAACUGCAUCGUUCCACGUUGUACAUCCAUUGCUAGUUUAUCUAUAUUACAUAAUAUAUUAUUAGCUAUUUGAAUAGAAUGAACCAAUUAAAAAAUUGCGUUGUAUUUUUAGUACCGGCUGCAGGAUGGUGUUACCAACCAGUACUAAUUGGCCUGUAGGAGUGAUGGUUAUUAGACUUGGUACUGUUGUUAGCAUCAUUAACCUAAUUGUGCGCCGUAUGAAUUUGGGGAUGCAAAGCUAGCUCUCUAUGAAUGUGAGGGAUGGAAAGCUAGUUCUCUAGUAGUAAUUAUAUAUAUGACAGUCAAGAAAUCGAACACUAUGCUGCUACGAGUCACCAUCAUUUCCUUCAUUGACAAUCUGACAUAGGUGAAGCUGCUUCAAUAAUUUCCUUCGCGCAGUCGUGGAGCUUAUUGGAUUAUCACCAGGACGGGACACGGAAAUGGCCAGCAAUGAAGCUGAUUGCCGUCUGAGGAAGACUACAUACUUACCUAUGAAAUGAAGCGAUUGCAUAGACUAAUGAAGCAUUGCAUAUUUGCAUGUGAGUGUGGCAGAUAAUUCUGCAGGACAUGAUUGCAAUCCACGCACCAUCGAGAAGACUGGGGCGAUGGGGUUGCCUCAUCAAUAAUCACGUGGAUGCAUGCAUGCAUGUUCCCGCAACCGGACAAGGGUCUGAUAUAUGGCUAUAGUAUUACUGAGCCCACAUCAAUAAUUUCCACUGGUGUAUCGUGUGGGAAGAAUCAACAUACUACACCUCGAGUUCUUGGAACUAACUGACGUUCACAUGCAACCUCCACAAGGUGCUGUAUGCUUUUGACAUUCACCUGCCAGUUCGUGUAGAGAAGGACACCCUAACGUAUAGUUAAUAUUAUCCAUUUCAUGAGUAAAAUACUGUGAUUCAAAAAUACUUCAAAUCCCUUGAGACAAUACUUCUCACUUGACUAACCACUAACCAACCCCGAAACCCUAACUCAACUCCGAACCCUAACCCCUAACGGCAUAACCACUCCGUUUUGCCGGCGAGAUGGAGGAACUGGCUGGAAGGUAGAGAGGGCAGCGGUCCAGGGUUGAAAACGACGGGCGAGCGCAGUAACAUGUGGAGGAGGAAGUGCCACGUAUUCGUUCACCGCUAUUGGGCAGCGACACACGACACGCCCAAUAAGAUCUUCGCACGGUAGAAGGACGUCAUGUAUUCAAUAAUGUUAUUGGUCCCCCAUGUGCAGAAGGGCGCGCGCGUAUGGAAUAACAAGUAGGGACACUGCAACUAAUCUACUCUGCUCGUCCAGUCCCUAGCCUAUAAAUAGAUGCCAUGCUAGCUCUUGUUGUGCUCACAAUUAAUCCGAUUACACACGAGCUUCUCUCCCUGGCCAAGACACAACCAUAGUAUGAUGAAGAACAUGGCACUAGCCGGCAAUGGUAUGAAGAAGUUAAUCCUCGCUGUUCUCUUACUGUGUCUAGUUAUAGGGCAGAUACAAGUGGAAGCUAAGAGCUGCUGCCCAUCCACCACUGCAAGAAAUGUCUACAAUACCUGCCGUUUCACGGGUACAUCCCGUCCAACGUGUGCAAAACUGUCAGGCUGCAAAAUUAUCAGCGGGAACAAAUGCAAGCCCCCUAACGACCACCUCACCCUUGACCCGGACACUGGUAAAUAAUAAAUUUAUCUCACUUGAUUUCUUCGUGAUUUGAGUCGUUAAUGUAUUUUCCAUCUGAUGAAACGUAUUGGUUUUGCAUUGAAGAGGAAGUUAAUGUGCUUAACUUCUGCAAGUUGGGGUGUGCGUCGUCUGUGUGCAACAACAUCAACGCUGGUAAGCAACUUUUGCUCAGACAGAGAAAACAAUAAUCAUUAAUUAGCGGCAGCUAGAAUCCUAUAAUCUAAUAUAUAUAUAUAUAUAUAAUUUUAUCAGCUCUGGGAAAUGAAGAGGCGAACGAUGCCGUUGAGAGUUGCGACCAAGCCUGCUCUAGCUUCUGCAGCGUGCAUGUUGGCAGCGCCACCGUGGUUGCUUAAGCAAAUGCAUCCAACUAGAUCGUCCUUGUGCUGAAUAAUUGGAUAUCGUAUCCACUUAAAGCUGCCUUGUGUAGUACGUCUUUGUGUCUCUCUUUAUAUUCCAAUAAGGUCGGUGAUCUUGAUGCCACACACUCAGAUGUGUGUUCAUCUCCAGAUACUACUCCAUGCUACCUGCCCUUUGUGUUUUGUUCAAUAACUGGGUAUCAUAUCCCAGCCAGUAUGCCGUCUGUUUUGUGUUUGUUUCCUUCUAGUUCCAAAGGGGUCAUCAUGAUGUUACCUUCUUUCAAUAUGGUGCUUUGCAUGACUACUGUUGUAUGGUACCAUCUUGUGGCCAAUAAGUACAUCUUAUCCUAUGACCUUUGCUAUGACCCUUUGCAAAUAAGUAGAAGAUUGUUAUAAGCGUCAAUACUCCGUAUAAAUUGAUCGCUGCUGUGAGUUCCCUUUCAGCUUAUCGUAGGCAUACAUUAUUGCUAGCACGGUAAAGCCAACCAACACGAAUGAUGAAGUAAACGUAGCGGUACUUCUGUAUACCAACACCCUUACUUAAAUGUACCGGUGUCAUUCCCUACUGGCACAUAUAUUCUUAUAUGCUAGCCAGCUUGUAAAAUUAACCAAUUAAAAUAAUUAUUUCAAGAUAGAAAUAACUUAUCGGUUUCUGGAAGCAUGUGUAAUGUGAAUUCAAGGACUCGACGGAAGUUGAAUCACUUCAUCUAUAUUGCUUUCAGUAUUUUGGGUAACUAAAUUUAACAUUUGCACAUACAAAUGUUAAAGUACAAAUGUUAAAUCUAGUUACCCAAGCAGAAUAUGAAGAUAGUUUAUAGUAUAUAUAUACUAUAUAAAUCUAGUUAACAUUUAGUCUAAAUGUUAAAUCUAGUUACCUAAAAUCCUGAAAGCAAAAUGUAUAAAUAUAUAUCUUUUAAGGCAGUAUAAGCUUCGAUUCCUAUUGCUGCUCUGUUAAAUCUCAUCUUUCGUUGUGGCCCAACACUCUAGUAUGCAUGUUGCACCAAGCUUCUUUGAGCCGCUCUGCCCUCUGAUUUUGCUGCGUAGGGGAAUCUUUAUCAGGUUGGGCUACUUCCAGUUGUGCGAUGUAAAGAUUCGUAUUUUCUAGAAGGUAGACAAAAAACUCGCGUUCUCUUAAGGCAACAACCGGAAGAUUCUGCAGCGCACAGGGCAUACCAUUAUUGUAGAAACGACCUUUAGUACCGAUCUCCAACCCCCUUUAAAACUGGUUUUGCAACCGGUACCGUUAUGUCGGUCCUUUAGUACCAGAUCAAAUAAGUACCGGUUGGUAACCAGUAUCAACUUGUUUUGCGGCCAAAAAAAUAAAGAAAAAAACAGUCAGAAGGCUCGCACACACGCGCAUCACAUGAAAUAUGCGUGUGCGGGGUCCAUGGGAUUCGAACCCAUGAAAUCAAGCUGCACGCGACCCUUCGUUACCAUCUCACCUACAUAGCGCAUAUGCUUUCCUGAAGUAACCCGUGGAGGAGGCUUUAGUACCGGGUCAUAACACCACCCGGUACUAAAAAUGACUCUUCAGUACCGGGUCAUAACACCACCUGAUACUAGUAUCGGAUGGUGUAAUGACCCGAUACUAAAAGGCCUCUAGGGACCCUCAAAUUUGAACCCGGUACUAAUGCUAAUAUUAGUAGCGGGUCAAAGUGCAGCCAGAACUAAAGCAUGGGAUGAAAGGUCAUAUUUCUAGUAGUGUAUAGUUGUUGUGAAGGACUGACUUGGCUGUCCUCUCUCUUCUCCAUCCCCUUGGUCUUACGCCGCCGCUCGCACGCGAGCCGGUGCCCAACCAGAGGAGUGAGAGCUAGGGGCAGGUUGGGAGGUGGGGAUAGUGACUGGUGGCCAGGGUGAUGGUUGAUCCUGGUGGGGUUAGGGUUUCAGGGUUUUCGAGCUUCCUAUGGUCGGCGAACCUAGAGGAGAAGCUCAACAUCAGCUGCAACCCGCGAUGGUGGUGGUUUGGCCGGCGCCCGAGGCGAGGCAGCGCGGGAGUGCUGCCGGUGGGUUGGUGUUGGCACUCAUUAUUGACAACUAUUUUGUUCAUAAAAUAACACUCAAACUUGCUGCUGCUGCUGCUGCCAUCGCCACCCUAGCCAUAAUAUAAAGGCAAAAUUUGCUAAAGGACAUGCAAAAUGAUGCUAGUUUGCUGGCGGGCAUCGUUGACCUUGUAAUAUGCUACAAGACACUCUAGUUGUGUAUCAAUUUGCUGAAAGACAUUGCUAUGACUAAAAUAAUGUUUCUGGACUGAGUUGGAGAGAGAGAUGGAGUGAAAUGUCUGUUUUGCCCAUGACCCCACUGGUCAGAUCCUUCUUCUUCCACCCUCCUUUGUUCUUUCUUCAACCAUUACCCAGCUCCAGCGUGUUGCAGAUCUACGAGGGUGGCGGCCUGGGGCGAGGGGCAUCGCUCGCCCUUGGAGGAGCGCUGCGAGCGACGGCGCGGGGGCGGCAACAGCGCGUCAGAACCUGACUGUUCGUUAGCUCCUCUCGCUGCUGGGGAAGAAGGAGGGGGAUGGGCCAUGGACGGGGUUCCCUUGAAAACCUCAGCGUCGAGCUCGGGCGGCUACGCGCAGGCAGCACUAGGCUGCUUCACGGGGAGGGGGCGCGGCCAAUCAUUGGCACCCCACUGGUCCAAUGCUGAUGAAGAUGGUGCCAGCGUCGUGUGAGGACAUCUCAUCUCCUCGAGUUCCAUGGCCAGCACAGGUGAGCUGCCGCUACCACAAAACAGAGGUUUCGUGAGAGUCAAAAAACCUUAUGAAAAUAGCUAAAACCAUCAUGAAAAUAAUCCGUGACAUGACACUCUCACGAAAAUCCUCUCACAAAUAUGGUGCCAUGAAAAUACCAUUUUCAUGAGAGUGAACUGUCAUGAUUUUAUAAGCGUCAAUACUCGGUAUAAAUUGACUACUGCUGUGAGUUCCCUUUCAGCUUAUCGUAGGCAUACAUUAUUGCUAGCACGGUAAAGAGAACCAACACGAAUGAUGAAGUAAACGUAGCGGAACUUUUGUAUACCAACACCCUUACGUACCGGUGUCAUUCCCCACUGCCACAUAUAUUCUUAUAUGCUAACCAGCUUUGAAAAUUAAGCGAUUAAAAUAAUUAUUUCAAGAUAGAAAUAACUUAUCGGCUUCUCGAAGCUUGUGUAAUGUGAAUUCAAGGACUCGAUGGAAGUUGAAUCGCUUCAUCUAGAUUGCUUUCAGGAUUUUGGGUAACUAAAUUUAACAUUUGCACACACAAAUGUUAAUGUACAAAUGUUAAAUCUAGUUACCCAAGCAGAAUAUGAAGAUACUCUAUAGUAUAUAUGUACUAUAUAAAUCUAGUAAACAUUUAGUCUAAAUGUUAAAUCUAGUUACCUAAAAUCCUAAAAGCAAAAUGUAUAAAUAUAUAUCUUUUAAGGCAGUAUAAGCUUCAAUUCUCUGUUAAAUCUCAUCUUUCGUUGUGGCCCAACACUCUAGUAUGCAUGUUGCACCAAGCUUCUUUGAGCCGCUCUGCCCUCUGAUUUUGCUGCGUAGGGGAAUCUUUAUCAGGUUGGGCUACUUCCAGUUGUGCGAUGUAAAGCUUCGUAUCUUUUAGAAGGUAGACAAAAUACCCGCGUUCUGGAAGAUUCUGCAACGUGCACGUUGGCGCUGCCACCGUGGUUGCUUAAGCAAAUGCAUCCAACUGAAUCGUCCUUAAGCUGAAUAAUUGGAUAUGGUAUCCACUGCUUAAAGCUGCCAUGUUUAGUACGUCUUUGUUUUUCUCUCUUUAUAUUCCAAUAAGGUCGGUGAUCUUGAUGCCACACACUCAGAUGUGUGUUUAUCUCCAGAUACUACUCCAUGCUACCUACCCUUUGUGUUUUGUUCAAUAACUGGGUAUCAUAUCCUAGCCAGUGUGCCAUCUGUUUUGUGUUUGUUUCCUUCUAGUUCCAAAGGGGUCAUCAUGAUGUUACCUUCUUUUGAGGUGUCUAUGAUGACUUCGUUAAUAUCAAUAUUAACCAAUUCAAUCUGUCUUAACUAUUUGUAAGGGGUAUGAUGUAUGCAUGAUUAUAACAAUGAUUGCGCAUACAAUCGCCGCCAAAGAAACGGUCAAUACCAUUAAGACAUAUUACAGACAAUUCUCAUAAUCUAUAAUGAAUAUACAUAUUCACUACUGCAGAAGACUGUCAUUUGUAUCGGCUCAUACGUGCCAGGGCAAAGGUCACCCUUGCAUUAAGUACAUUUGCACGGUAAAGACAACCAACACGAAUAAUGAAGUAAACAUGCCGGUGCUUUUGUACACCAACACGCUUACUUAAAUGUACUGGUGUCAUUCCUCACCGGUAGCCGGCUUGAAAAUUAACCAAUUAGAACAAUUAUUUAUUGUAUCGGUGUGAUUUUUGACCUAUUGGAAUAUGAAUUUGACCGUUACUGCAUUCGUCAAGACUCAAGAGAGAAAUAACUGAUCGGCUUCUUAGAGCGUGUGCAAUGUGAAAUCAAGGACUGGAUGGAAGUUGAAGCGCUAGCACUAGUAGAGAAACGACUUUCCAUCCACCCCCUUUUGUCCCGGUUUAAAGUUGGCUCGGGAUAAAAGGUUCACCAACCGGGACUAAAACUCAGUCACUGGUGGGAGGCUCACCAACCGGAACCUUUUAUCCCGGUUGCAAAGGCUAAUGGGAAAAAAAGACUCUGAGAGGCCUUUUAUCCCGGUUUGAAACACCAACCGGGAUAAAAGACCCCCCUUUUAUCCCGGUUGGUAACACCAACCGAGAUAAAAGGGUCAAGAGCCUUUUAUCCCGGUUGGAAACACCAACCGGGAUAAAAGACCCCCUUUUAUCCCGGUUGGUGUUUCAAACCGGGAUAAAAGGGCCCCCACGAGGUGACUGGAAGGUGACUGGAAGGGGAUUAAAUCGUGGGGGACCCUUUUAUCCCGGUUGGAAACACCAACCGGGAUAAAAGGGGGUCUUUUAUCCCGGUUGGUGUUUCCAACCGGGAUAAAAGGGUCCCCCACGAGUUAAUACAAAAGGAUAGUAUCCCCUACAUAGUCAGAUGUGGUGUGUAGGUGGGAUGGUAAGGAAGCUACGCGCGAGCUCCGGAAUUUUUUUUUUUUUUUUUUGCAGCGUCGGCGCUCUCUACCCUUUUAUCCCGGUUGGUAUUACCAACCGGGAUAAAAGGGGGUCUUUUGUCCCGGUUGAGUGACCCGGGAUAAAAGACCCCCCCUUUUUUCCCCGGUUAGUUUAUCCCGGAUGCAUUUUCGGGAUAAAAGCACCCUACCAACCGGGAUUAAAGCUCACUUCUCUACCAGUGUAGCUUCAUCUUCCGCUGCAAGUUAAUUGCUUGGAUAAGAAGUUGUAGCCGCUGCAAGUUAUAAAUAGUCCCGCUGAUGCUGUGCUCCGAAGUCUAUACUAUAUAUGCGGAAACUAGAUUGCUUUCAGGAUUUUGGGUAACUAAAUUUAACAUUUGUACAUAAAAAUGUUAGUUUACGAAUGUUAAAUCUAGUUACCCAAGCAGAACAAGAAGAUAGUAUAUAGUAUAUACUAUAUAAAUCAAGUUAACAAUUAGUCUAAAUGUUAUAUCUACUUACCCAAAAUAUUGAAAGCAAAGAAAGAAUAAGUAUAUAUCUUUUGUUGGAAAAUUGGUCCACGGAGAGGCCCAUUUAGGCCUCGUUCGUUUCACCGGGAUGGGAUUCCAGUCAGGAUUACUUCCAAGUUCGGUUUGAGUGAUUCCACCCGUGUCACUCAAUCCGGCUAGGAUUCAUUCUAUGGGUGAGGAGGUAUGGUUUCAAUCCAGGCCAUCUAAUGUAGAAGGAUUCCAAUCCAGGCCGGUUUUCGUUCCAGGCCAGACUAAAACGAACAACACUUUCAAUGCAAGUCUGGUUUCAAACCGGGCCAUUUCAAACCACCCGGAAUGGACCUCGUUCCAGGCCAAUCCGGUGAAAACAAAUGAGGCCUUAAUGGAAUCCCAAAGCAAGAGUUCAGUGGCAUUCUAUAGUCCCAUGCUGCUAGUUUGAGUUGGUCGAAGCCAACUUAAAUAGGAGAGCUCUCUCACUUCUCUAAAUACGUAACUGAAGGAGAGAAGGGGGCUUGGGUUACACAACGCACGCACGCACGCAUAUUUGCGUUCUUUUCGCGUAACCAACCGCGUGACUUGAAACUUGCGACGUAGCGUGCUGCUAAGUCAAGUUGAUAUAACCUUUUUGCCGUUUGCAUGUAAUCUUUUGACAACGGUCAUUGGAGGUGAUAAGCACGCAGUCAAUACCUUAAUCUUGAGUUAAUAGGGUGGUUACUACUGCCAAUUAGUGGGGCAAUUUUGUAGGGGAAACGGUUAGCAGAGGGCUACCGUCUUCUCUAUAAGAAGUUCUGGAGACGUCCAGGAACACACAUGUACAUGUGAGAGACCCACAAAUUCCUUCCCUUCUCCCUUUUCCAUGUGGUGAAGUGUGCUGUGGUACUGAGCUGCUUGAUCUCGCCGCUCUUCUCCUUGGCAUGCACCGAGGAGGAGGGUGAGCGGUAUCUCCGAGCUAUUGCCGUCAGGAAGCCUGCACGAGGGACAACAAAAAGUUUUUGGGUAGCGCAACUGCCAGCACAACUCUCCCUCCGCCUCUUCUUCACGGUUGAUGGCCACCACAAGCAUAAACCUCGCCUUCGCAUCCACGCAAAAGGGUCGCUGGGGUGCCUUCUUGCAUCGCUUCUCAGCCUCCUUGACUUGCGGCCAGCCAAGAACUGCGCCACCACCUCGGGUGCACGCCACCACUCCAGGGCUGCUACCCCAUGCCUGCGGCCGCCGCCGGCCACCACGCGUGUGCAACCGCGUCGCACCGCUUCCUUGCUUUGUGCCACCACUGCUGCUGUACCACCAGCUCCACCACCUUGGGCUGGUCGCCAGAGUGACUGAUAACUUAUUAUCUGUAACUACUAUUAACUCAGGGAUACAUGCGUCUUUUGCUUCUCCUACUAAUAUGUCCUAAAAUAUCUAGGAUGCCUUAUAUUUCUGGACAGAGGAAGUAUUUGAAUAAAAUGAACCAAUUUAAAAAAAUGUGUUGUACACUACUACAGAAAGACCUAUCAGUGUCAAACCCAAAAAUGUUGUCACCGCCAGUUUUGGGCAUCAUUGGUGAAAGGUUGGCGGUGAUGGGCUUUCCCUUCAACAACGGCACUGGAGCCGACGGUGAUUGACAUUAGAAAACAAAAAAGGGGACCCUACCUAGCCACCCCUGCAACCCGGCCGGCCGUGCCUCCCCUCAUCCCCACCACCUCGCCUCCCCAUGACCCCCCGCCGGCGCCCUUGCGCCUAGCCCCCUCAACUGCCCAGCCGGCCACCCUCAUCACGAGAGAGAGGUGCAUGUUGUAUAAUUGCGUGAAUUUUUUAAUGUUUAAUUUCAUGUAAGUUCCGUGUAAUAAAUUGUACAAGUUUUAUUGUAUAUAUGAAUUCCAUAUAUAUAUAUAUAUAUUUAUAAUUUAAUGUAUGGUUUCAUGUGUAUAUUUCAAUCAUGUGUAUAUUUAGUAGAUUGCCGAUUUUCUUUUUCUACUAGACAAGGGUUGAUGUAUAAUUACGUGUAUAUGUUUAUUGUACGGGCAAUUAGGACAAGUUUUGUAUAAAUUUCUUUUAUUUGAUGGUUGUUGUAUGGUUUCAUGUAUAUACAUUUAUUGUACUACUUUAGACAAUUUUUAAUUUAAUGUUUCUAUGAUUAGAUGUGUGUAUAACUAAUUGUAUUAUUAGUUAAGAUGGGAGCUAAAGAGGAUGAAAGGUAUAUAAUGGAGCAGAUUAUUGCUAGCUCAAACGUUGCAAGAACCUACACCGAGGGUGAGGGUAGCUAGGUGGACAUGUACCUCAACAUGUCCAGUGAUGGCAAUGACGAUGAGGAGCACGAGCAUGACAUCUAUGAUAAUGCGGAACAAGACAUUGCAGAAUUGGAAGGUUCUAAUGAGGUGUGCUUCAUGUUGACAAUCUAGUUGGCUUUUUUUCGUUGGUCACACCUUAGUUACCAUAGAACUUCGUCUCGGGAGAAGAUUGGUGGUGGUAUGGUGAUUGGAAUUUUAUUUCCACGAAAUCUGAUUUCCAUCGAAUCAUAUCCCUUGUAUUUAUCUUCUUUUUAUUUGUGAGAGCAUCUUCUUUAUGCUUGCAAAACAAUUCAAGUGCACAUACUACCCCUAGGGUGACGAUUGGGAGUAGAAAUAAUUGCCAACAAAACAACACCACAUCCUAAGAUUCUUAACUUGUGGCAUAAUUAGUCUAGUAAAAAGAAAGAUAAAAACCUAAUGGGUGUAUGUGAGUGCAAUGUGUAUAUGCAUAUGAGUGGAAGGCAUAUAAGCAAAGACAAUAUUUACACAUAGUUCUAAACACCAUGUUUACAGCUAGGUUGCUGAAUUUCUCCAUAGCCAUAGAGAUUAAUUAACCAAGGUCAAAACACGAUGUCUAUCCCAAGAUCAGUAAUUAUUUAUAGCACAAGAAAAAGAAAGCGCAUUGCAAAGUUUAUAAACCAACCAAUACAGCAUGAAAACAAGAUGAAUAGCUAGCAAGGUUUAUUAAACUGAAUGAUGACGGUCUGUAAGCAAGUUUAAACACCAUCUUUACACAAGAUUGCAAAUGGAAAAUGCCCAUAUGAAGCACUAACAUGGAUAUGAAAUCAUUCAUCAUAAAGCGUAAAGAACAACCAAGCCAACCAUAUGCAAAGCAUGAAUGGAAUGCAAUGAAGGUGCAAGAGAACAUUUUUGGAUGAACACAUUAUGAUGAUGGCAAAAUGCAAUGCAUGCAGAAAAAAUAAAUAUGAACAUGAAUAUGAUGAUCAGGGGCGGACCCACUAUUGUGGCCUGGGUAUUCCUCGGCAUACCCAAUAUUUUUGGGAAAAUGUUUAGUAGUUUUUAAUGGCAUAUACAUGUAUAAUAUAGUUUAGGUGUUAAAAUUGAUAUUCACAGCUAUUUUGGGCUCCAAUUCGCGUCCAAACCAACCUGGCCCACAGACCGCACCCGGCCGCCCGGCCCAUCGGCCCAUCUUGUCACUGAUCCUCCCACCACCACACUCAGCCCGUCAGUUAGUCAGGUCCCGAGCUCCUGCCUGACCUAGUCCGCUACCACCGCCAGGCGCCAGGCACAGCUGUACACGCCGCCCCCGUCCACCCACGUCCGCCGCACGGCCGCGUCGCGCCCCCCCCCGGCGCCCGCUGCUGCCAGAACCCAUUAGGCCUCCACCGGCAAGUCCACCCACAGUCCCGCGCGACGCGGCAGCCUCUUGGCUCUCGGCGCUCGCGGCGCGCCAAUGCCUGCGCAGCCCCAGCAGGCGACUGCCCCCCCCCCCCCCGCAUCGGGCCUCGGCCCCUCCCCAGCUCCCCCUCCCCCCUCCACCAGGACUGCCUGCUGGCCCCCACCGCGAGGUAAUCGAAAUGGACUGCUCAAUCUCUCAAUCUGUUGACAUGAUGCACACGGUUGCAAAAAUAGAUGUGUCAAAAUAGAUGUAUUGCCAAUUGCUAUAGAUGCAUAUGGUUGACAUGAAGAAGUCAAAAAUGACAUUUGGUUCCUUGUAGGCAGUCAAAAAUGAAGAAGUCAAACAAUAUUGAUCUGAAAUCAAUGCGGGAAAGGGCUACGAAGACACACGGGUAGAUUCCCUUGUGAACUUUUUAUGUCGUUCGUCUAAAUAUAUUUUUGCAAUGGGCAUACCCUACUCUGAAAUCCUGGGUCCGCCACUGAUGAUGAUGGUCUAAACAUAAAACAAGCCUAGAUUAAUUAGCUACAACUGAAAUUAAGCAAAGGUUAAUGUCAUUGACCCUAGCUCUAUCCUAGCUUUUACUAAAGUCCCGGCACAUAUAGUGGUUGGGCCCACUCUCUCUACUUCCCUCUCUGCUGCAUGCACACACACGAGCAACUGGAGGCCCAACAAAGCCCAGAAGGGUUCGGCCGAACCCGUCCGAUCCAGUCUGAGCGCCGCUCCCUCCCAGCCUUCGCGCAGAUGCUCCUCCAACGUUCCUUGACCCCUCCCUCAGUGUCCCAUUGGGUUUAACAUUGUAGGAGAGGAGUCCCUUUUUUAAAAUCUCAACCACCUCCUCUCCUCAUUCACUCCACUCUCAUCUCCAUCAAACUCACCAAGAUCCACAUCGGAAAUACCUGCUUACCACCAUGGCUGGCAAAGCCCUCGUCCCUUUCACCAACUUGGGCUUGACCAUUGAUCUCGAUGGGAAAAUCACUCCAGCAAAUGUCAUUGUCCCUGUCGGCGAUCUGGCGAUGGAGGAGGUCCAGGCACUAGAGGUCGAGCCCCUAGCCAUCAUACCGCCCAAGGGGUAAAGCAGGAGCAUGACAGGCGCUGCUAGGGGUUCAGCCGAACUCCCAGUUCAGCCAAACGAGGACGGCGUCGCCUCGGCCUCCCGCUCGACUGCAUGCUUCCCCUUGCCAAGGAGGACUCCAGAACAGCGGGCGCGUGCGUCAAGUCCCUACAAAAGGCUGAAAUACAAUGAAUAUCCAGGGUCACCCUUGAAGAUGGGUGAACGCUACGCCGGGUCCUUGUUUGACUAGUACGGCGAUGCAUUCUGCCACCGCUAUGUCGUUGUCGAGAUUAGCGGAUCAAGACUUAGACUAGUAAAUUUCUUUUAUGCGCGUAAGGCUUCAGAUGGUGGCGUGGGAGACAUGGGUUUUAUACUAGUUCGGGCAAUGGAAUACCCUACGUCCAGUGUCUGGAGCUGCUUGUGUUGCCCACGCGGGGUUCUGUAGUAGGGGUUACAGGUGUGCGAGAGAGGGAGCUAAUCCCAGGUCUCUUAGGCGUGUUCCGGUCCUCUAGAUGGGAGAAGUGUGUUCUGUUUGCUUGGGAGUAUCGGUUGUGUCUGAGUUGUCUCCGGAGCCUCCUCCCGUCUCAGGUCCCCGAUUCUCCUUUCAUAGCACAAGGAGACCAUCGGGGUUACAGACGAGACCGAGCGUGGGGAGGAGUAAAGAGAUAAACAUAGCUAGGUAAAAAUACAACAAGAAAGGGGGGAACCAAGUUUCUAGGUCACCGGCGUCCUCGCCGGCCUUCGACUUCCGCCGGCGCAUUUGUCGGAGGAGGGUGGCCGCCAUCGCGUUCUGUCGAUGGCUUCCUCGGUGACUGUAGCCACCGGGCGUGAUGAUGGCAUUUCGUCGUGACCCUUUGUCUGUUGGGGGAGGCGGCGGAUCCUGCCAUUCUGCUGACGGCUCGCGGAGUGCGAACGUCGCAUCCCUGCCGCUGGGCACGCGGGGCGCGAGAACGUGCGAGGCUUCCCCCUACCCCAGGCGGCGCAGGCCAUGAGUGCCCUGUGGCAAAUCGGAGGAGGCCGCAGCUACUGUAGCUUGUACUGUGCAGCCACGUAUGGGUACUUGUGGCAGGUUGCGUGGUGGAUGCGGAUAUCCUUCUCCCUGACAGAUCUGCGGCGCAUUUAUGGCGAGAUCGACAUGGGGACCCACAAGACCCGCGCCCAAGGCGGAUACUUGUCUGGAGGGCCCGGGUUAGCCUGACCCCCUACGCUUGGGGUCGGGCGAGGCGGAGACUUGCGGCGGGGCGUCGGACGCUCCCGACACUAGACCUGCGGUCGCGCAAGGCGGAGCUUGGUCUUCCGGGGGUCGGGGGUGCCGGACCCCAGGAUGCGGGGUCGGGCGAGGUGGAGCGUAAUUCUUGCCUCCCAUGUUGGGCCGAUGGCAGUCUUUGUUACCUCUAGUGGGCUUGGGCCUUUAUGUUUUGUUGUUUCCAUGGGCUUCGAGAGGUCGUUAAUAUUUCCCCCCAACAGUAGCCCCCGAGCCUGUGGUGGAGUGGGGGCGCUCCUCCGGAGGCUACUAUCAUCGCCCCUAGGGAAUCCUCGCAGUUGAUCCGGGAUAGGAGGUGUUGUUUGCACGGCUUGACCGAGGGGGUCGAUUAGGCGACGCAUCCUGUGAGCGACUCGGUGCGGGAGGGUUUCUUGUUGUUCCCUUCUGUCUGAGAGCCUUAAGUCGAGACCACCUGCGUGGCCUUUGGUUGCAAGGCCAGCCCCCGAGCCCCCGCACGUUGCAGGGGACCGGUCGGAGGCUAGGUCGACUUUUGUUCAUUACCCUCAAGCGUCUGUUCGCUAGGACGGAGGGGGCGAGCCGUGCCAUGCUAUCCUCAUCGGACGAACCAUGGUGCUCAUUGAGUUACUAACGGGUUGAUUCGAGUGGGAUCCCGGUCCCCGUUCGGGGGGGGUCCGGCUUGGGCCAAGCUGGUGGCGUACCCCAGGCUCCGGUCGGCCAGUUCAUAUAGUUCCUGAGUCCGUUCGGUCGGACCGGGGGCUCAUUGCCUUUCUUCGGGGAAAAACCAUGAACUUUGAUGCCGGUCCAGACUCGAAUGUGAGAUUGAGACGCCCGGGGCUGUCGCGUGCCCGGGUGAUGGCCGCUAGCGGACCCGUCUCCUCUCACCCCUCACUCGGGGGUAUCCUGAGGCGGCUGUCGAACCCGUGGCGGGCCAGCCUUCGAACCUCUGGAUCGUAAUGGGCCGUAGGGGCGUUUUCAGCCCCGUAUCCCUUUUUACCUUUUGGUGGGCCUUGGGCCGAAUCAUGGAGGAGGUCGGGCCUUGGGCCGGAUGCGGAGGAUGUCGUGCCUUGGGCCGGAUGUGGGGGACGUCGUGCGUGUCUUCCGGGAGACGAAGUGGUGGAGGGUGCCAACCCGCGAAUCGAGGGAGGAGGGGAUGUUUCUACUGCAGGUCAUGCGCACGGUUUCCGAAAAGGCAGCGGGCGUGACGGGACGUACCUCGCGCCGCAUUUAUUGCGAUGGGGGCGUCUGUUCUGCUUCCCUCGUGCCUUCCCUAUAAAACGAGGACUUCGCCUCGCCGGUUCCGCCCGCCAUCUACCUUCAAGCCUUUUCGCCUCCUCGCGCGCCCUUAGCUUUCCUGUGCCCGCUUCGUCUUCCUCCGCCCAGUGCCGCGCCCUUUCUCCCCAUCCGCCGUCGAGUUCUUCUCCCUCCGGCGAUGGGAUCCUGGGCGCGUUCCCACUUCGGCCCCUCACGCGCCGAAGGCCUAGUGAGGAAAGGCCUCCUUUGCGAGAGGACGGAGACGGAUGAGUGGGGGUUCCCUGAGAUGGAAGAGGUGCCGACUCCGCCCACCGGCUACGUCGUUUCCUUUGCCCACUUCCACGAGAGGGGGUUUGCGACUCCGCCGAGCCUCUUCUUCCGCGGGCUUUUGUAUUACUACGGGCUUGAGCUGCAGCACCUCAACCCCAACGGGAUUCAGCACGUCGCGGCGUUCGUUGCGGUGUGCGAGGGGUUCCUGGGCAUUGAGCCCAACUUCUCGCUGUGGAAGUACUUCUUCACGGUCAGCCUAUACCAGAAGGCCGAGAAGAGGGGAAGCCAGCAGCGGUCGACCCCGGUGCCGAUAGGGUGCGUCGGAAUCCACCUCUGCCAUACUCGCGCCAAGGAGUAUAUCGCGAUGAAGACCGCGGCAUCCCACAAGGGGUGGCACCAGCAAUGGUUCUACGUGAAGAACUACUCCAACCCCCCCUGCCGGAGUUCACCGGCCGCAUUAUUGAAGCGGCGCCGGAGGUGUGGGUGUACGGCCCGGUGGAGAAGGAGAAGAAGCGGAUCACCGGCCUGCUGCAGGCCAUCGAGCACCUGAAGGAGAGGGGACUGACCGGAGCCGGAGUCAUCGGGGCGUACCACGCCCGGCGGGUGGCGCCGCUGAUGCUCCGGGUCCGCUCGCUCGCCGACAUGACCCCCGGUGCUCUCACCGAUGGCACUGUCCUCGCGACGGGUGCUCUCGCUGCCUCCGAGAUCCGGCAGCGGAUCCGGGAGGCGCUGGAGGACAAGGACGCCGAUUACCCGGUGCCCGGCCACCCUCCGAUGCGCCCGGACGAGAAUUUCAUUGAUCUGGUAAGGAUUUUGCGCGCCAGUUUCCCUCUCUUGCGUUUCUUGGUAUGCCGUUCUGACGCGAGGCCCUCUGUGUUUGCAGGGUAGCAUGACCCGGGUCGUCGACUUGCGUCCGCCAGUGUCGGAGGACGCCGAGUGGCGGUAGCAGAACCGUCUCCUUGCCGAGAAGCAAAAGUGACGCAAGGACAAGAGACAGCGAAGAAGAAGAAGAGGGCCGCCAAGGAGUUCCAGCGGCGGCGGUGGGGAUAGGUCGUGUCGGAUGACGAUGACGAUGAGAAGGAGGAGGAGGAUGACGAGGAGGAGGAGGAGUUUAUCCUGUCCCCCCGGUCAGGGGCGCUUGUUAUCCGGGAGCCGCGCUCCCAAGCGGCCAUGGGGGACAAGGCGGGCGAGCUGCCUGCCCGGACCCGAUCCUGCGAAGCUUUGGGGGCGCGCCCCAGGGGUCGGCGCAGAGCGCCCCCCGGGGGUCGACGGAGCCGACCCCCAUCCCUACACCUGCAGCCCAGGAGCAGAGGAGCAGCGACAAGCGGCCGUUGCCAGAUGCCCCGGGGUCGGCGUCCAGCUCAGAGGCGAAGCGCGCGCGCCGCCCUUGCGCUGGGGGAACGUGAGUUGAAUUUCCUUGCGAAUCUCGUUCCUUUCCAUGCAUUGUGUUUGUUUCCGCUGAUGCUGUUUGUUGUCUCACAGCACCGCCCCUCAAGGCCUUGUCCCGCCGUUGGCGCCAAAGAAGGCGUUGCGGUGUUGUCGCCUCUGCGGGGCGGACCGCGGCUCCGCCGGCGGCGAGUGGCGGGGUCACUGGUGAGACCGCGGGUCCUACCGCGGAGGUGGCCCCUGCGGCGGCAACCGGUGGAGUGGUGCCACCGCCGGGCAUGGGACAGGGUCUGGACCCCGCUCCGUCCUCCGCCUCUUCGGCCGACCCCGCGGUGCAGAGUAUCGCUCCUGGGGGCCCUCAGGCCGGGGAGGUGAUUGACCUCGACGCCGACGAGGUGGAGGAGACGGCGGCGGUGGAGACGGGGGCGGUUGCCCCAGCGGCCAUGACGGGGACGACGACGGCGACGGGGGAAGGAGAGUCUACCCCCGCGGCCACGGCGGGGACAGUGGCGACAGAGGAGGCGGGGACGCCCGCCCCGGCGGCUGCGACGGAGGAGGCGGCGGUGACGGAGACGGGGGCUUCCGCCCGGGAAGCCACAGCCGAGGUGGCAGCGGCGACGGAGGUGAAAGUGCCUGUUCUGGAGGCCACGGUGGGGGUGGGGACGCCUGCCUCGUGGCCACGACGGAGGGCGAGGCGGCCCCAGGGACACUUGCUCCGGCACCCGCGUUGGAGGCGGUGGCGCCGACGGGUUGGCCCGUGGCGGCCUCGACGGGGGCGGGGGUGCGUGCGCCGGGACCGUCGGUGAGGCCGGCGACUUCCGGGAUGGUGGUGCCCGUCUUGACGGCGGCGGCGGCGCGGUCGGCCCCCGCCCUUGCCUCUACCACUCCCAUUCCCAAGGCGUGGAGCGGAUCCGUCCUGCGUUGGUCGUCUCGUGACGACCCGCAGAGGCCCCUCUUCACGUUGGAUGAUGCCACAGAAUGGGGCAAGUGGCAGGCGCUGCAGGGCGGACUCGCUAACGUCCGCGCCGCUCUAUCUUCGGCGUUGGGGGAGCUGGACGGCGUCAUCUUCCCCGGUGGCCGGGUAUGGUGCUUUCUCCGUUGGUUAUUUUCUUCCCGUUACUUCGUCCCUGAUGGCACAUUGUUCUGCAGGCCCUCCAAGAAUGUAGCCGGGGAAAAUCUGAUUUCCUUUGGCUCGAGCAGGGGCUCUGGGAGCGCUUCAACUUGGAGUUGCAGCGGACCGGGGAGCUGACCAUGCAAGUCGCCACCGUCUAGCAUGUCAUCGACGAUCUGCGAAGGCACGAGCAGGCGGCACAGGAGGACGCGCGGCGGGCGGAGGCCAAGUUCCAGGUCGUUGCCGAAAGGGCUCGCUGCGACCGCGAGGAGUUCCAGGCCGUUGCCGAAAAGGCCCGCCACGACGCUGAGGAGCUCGCACGGCUGAAGGUGCAGCAUGAAGCUCUUCAGAAGAGCGGCAGAGGGCCUGGCAGGACCGGGACGCCGAGAAGGUCCGGAAGGAGGAGGCUGAGAAGGUGGCGGCCAACCUUGGGGCUGAGGUCAGCCAGCUCCAAGUGCAAGCGCGAGAGCUUCAGGCCUCCGUGGCCCAGGGGCUCGACCAGGAGCGCCAGCUGAAGGCCUAAUCCGAGGGUAUGACUCUGUUUAUUUCUUUGUCUUUGUGAUGUUGCGGUGAUAUUUUAUUUGGCGGGUUCUUCUGGAUGAUCCUUGCAGAUGAGCUCAACUGGCUGAGGGAGGUGCUUGACGCGGAGCGCGCUGAGCACGGCGACCUGCGGGACGCGGUCCGCGUCAUCUGUGACUUCCUUAGUGUGGUCCAGGGGGAGGGGACGAGCUCGCUGGCGGCUCGUGUCCUCGGGACGUACCGCCGGACCAGCGAGAUCGCCCUGGAAGCGCUUCGCACCGGCUUGAGGCAAGCCUUUGGGGUCUUCGGCUCCCACUAUUCCGGCAUCAACUUCGCCGGGAUGAGCGGGGGAUACGCCACCGGCUACUACGAGGCCGAGCUGGAUGAGAUCGACGUGUCGGUGCUCAGCCCGGCGGAGGCCUUGGUGAAGCUCCUCGAGGAUGAGGCCGUCCCGCCCGAAGAUCCCCGGACGAGUUAACUAUAUCGGGCUGGCGCCCCAGAUGUAAAUACGUUAGGGAAAGACUUGUUUUUUGUGAGGGCCGUAGAGGCCUUUUCUAUGAAUUGUCGUAAAAAAGUUUUUGAUUCCCUUUCUUGCUUUUUGGACUUGGAAAGUUUAGAGCACGUUGUCGGGCGUGUCAGUAAGCUUUGAUGAGCGAAGGCACCGUAGCCGCUGGGGCGUCGUUUUUUUUGCAGUCCGAUCAAUCUUGCCUGAACACCGUUCGUGCACUUUCUCCUUUUUAUGCCCAAAAGUUCAGAAAGAGGGUCGGCUCGGAAAGAGAAAGCGUUUUGAGAGGGUGUCAAGUGGCUUAGGUACUUGCGGCAGGUUGCGUGGUGGACGCGGAUAUCCUUCUCCCUGACAGAUCUGCGGCGCAUUUAUGGUGAGAUCAACAUGGGGACCCACAAGACCCGCGCCCAAGGCGGAUACUUGUCUGGAGGGCCCGGGUUAGCCCGACCCCCUACGCUUGGGGUCAGGCGAGGCGGAGACUUGCGGCGGGGGGUUGGACGCUCCUGACCCUAGACCUGCGGUCGGGCGAGGCGGAGCUUGGUCUUCCAGGGGUCGGGGGCGCCUUACCCCGGGAUGCGGGGUCGGGCGAGGCGGAGCGUAAUUCUUGCCUCCCAUGUUGGGCCGACGGCAAUCUUUGUUACCUUGGGUGGGCCUGGGCCUUUAUGUUUUGUUGUUUCCAUGGGCUUCGAGAGGUCGUUAAUAUUUCCCCCCAACACUAUGAGGAGGACUUGUGGGCAGAAAGUCAGCUACCACAAACUUGCCUCUGAAUAUUUGGAGUGCAAACAUUGGAUGGUGGUUGUGGAGAGCCCCAGCCAUACCUCGCACCCGUGGAGAGGUAAUUGUCGGAUUGCUUGGUUCGUCUCUAGAAUGCGACAAGGUCAGGCGCCACCUCUCACUGCUGCCAGUCAGAAGGCCGAGGGGCCAGUUUCAACAUAGUAAUGAGAAUCUCCGAAGGCCAAUAUGGUUAAGCAGCUAACCUCCAUGAUCAUAGACUUACGUUUAGAAAAUAGGAGGCUUAGCGAUGCGUUAACAGAGCAGAAGUUAGAAACAGAAGAACUUAAGGACGACUUCCGUGUCCUCCGCCUUGGUCUUUGUGCUAAGAUAAAGCGCUUGUACAAUGCCACGGGGAAUGACGGUCUCUACGAUGCAGCUCAAUAGACGUGCCCCUUGUAUCCUUUCCUUUAGGCACUUUAGAAUAUGUUUAUUUGUUUUCCUUCAUUUUAAUUUCCAAUAGAUUGUUAGCGCCUCCAAUUUAAUUUCAAUAAAGUGUAGACUCACCGGUCAUCCAACUUGAUGGAGUCCUUUUGUCACCUAGUUGUCUUUGGAAGAAGUAGCUGGGUACAAAAUAAGUGUGGGGGAGAGCCACAGACUCUCUAGAGCUGAAACAAUGCACAACACCCACAAAUAGAGAAAACCACGCUGCACCAGCACGUACGUGAAAGUGGAGCCAGAGCUGGACCCAUAGGGGUUUGGCCAACCCAAGGGGUGGCCCACUCGGGCCAUCUUCAUCCACCGCGUCGGUUUGUGUCUCUUUACCCCUGAUCUCCCUGAUUCAUGAGUUUGAAUGAAUUUUAAAUCUGAUCAACUAAUUCAAACUCAACUAAAAUGAAUCAACUGCUCCACCUGCUCUACAUGUUUUCUAUGGUUGGCUUGCAUAUGUUUUAUUUCAUGCUUAUCAUCUUGAUGCUUGUGAACAAAUAUCUUUAGGACAGCAUGCUCAUCUAAGUAGUUGAUGUGUAUGAUAUGGUUCGAUGAUAUGAUCUUCACUCUUAAUGCUUAAGUGCUUGGGAAAAUCUAUUUGAAAAUUUAAAAGCCUUUUUGAAAUCUCCUCUUUGAUGUGCCAAAGUCCUACCAAAGCCAUAUGAUAAGUUAUCUUGAAAAACCAUUUGCAUAUGUUGCUUGUCUUUGCAUUGAGCUUUGUCAAAUUGGUGUGACCCUUGUCACAAUUCUUUUCAUACUUUCAUGAUCAAGACUCAUGUGCACGCCAUAUACCCCUUGCUAUGCUUCUAUGAGAUGUUAGCAUUGUACCAUCCAUUCAUUCCACAAAAUAAAUGCUCCACCAUAUGUGUUGGUCUCCUUCUAAGAUUAUUGUUACAAAAGAGAUAUGGGCUAUCAAAAAAAAAUAUGAAUGUCCAAGAAAGUUGGACACAUGAAUGUCCAAUAAAAAGAAAAAGAAAGAUAGCCAUGUCCUCAGAAAUAUUUACAAAGGGAGAGAGAUCAUACAAAAAGGAGUUUCCAUUCCAUCCACCACAUCCAUACAUGUGCACAUCUUGAUCUGAUUGUAUGACUUAUUUUUCUCUUUGGAUCUGGUCUUUGACUUUGCAAUAUAUGUGAUGCAAGCAUGCCUUAUCCUUCAUAGCCUACCUUGAGCUCCACAUAUAGCCAUCAUUAGAAGUAGGAUGAAGAAAGGCAAGUCUAAUGCCUUGGUGAGGACAUAUACACAUUGAGUGAUCUGAGAGAAUCAAAUGAGGAGCUAAGCAAGGUUUUGUUUUGAAAACUAAUUGAAAAAUCCCAAGCUACUUGGCAUAAGGAGUUGAGGUGACUUGAUUCAAGACCAUUACAUUCCUCAACUACCCAAGAUGGCAUGAUAGACACUCCAAAGUUCACAAGUGCAGGUAUGGUUUGGAAUAUCUUUUAGGCUCGCUUCAUACCUUUGAAAGUUAUGUUUCACCUUAGUCCUUUCUCGUUCACUCAAGGAUAAGCAAAGGCUAAGUGUGGGGGUGUUGUUGAUGGCUCUUAAGUACAAAAUCUGCGCCAUCAACUCUUGCAUAAACACAUAAAAUAUGAGCAUCAACAAUAGUGGUAGGAGUUAUUACAAACGAAUUCCACAAGUCUUGGUGAAUAUUUGUAUGCAAGCCCAAUAGGAGAGAAAAGACACCUCAAAAGCAAGGAAACACACUCUCAACCAAUCAAGAGCAAGCACAUGGAACCAUGGGCCCACAACCAAAAGGAAAUCGACUACAUUCCAAACACCCUAUACCCACAUGAGAACCCAUAGGGCAGUGACCCAGAGCAAAGGUGAUGCCAGAGUGUAGAUGGUAGUUAGCAUGCCAAAUUUUGAACCGCAAGCGCUCGGAUUAGUUGUUUCUUUUCCCUUAGAGAUUCCCCCAAGGUUUAUCAAUCCAUGGAACAAGGGAUUUGCACGUUUCACUAAGCACUAAUCAAUGUAAUUGAAAGCUUUUCGAAUAAGAUAUGAUUAUGCUAACAAAGGAACUAAGCAAUCUAGAUUAAGAUGGAUAGAGAGUACAGGUUGUGAACAAGAUAGAUUAAACGCUUGUAGAUGCAAUCACCAUGCAUGAAUGAAUUAGAUCUAGGUGUUAUUGUGAGUGGUUGUGAACCAUGCCCAACACUUUCCCACCCGCAACAUUGUCACUACAUGUGGGUACUCAACUAUCGGAACAUAAGAACACAUCAAGAUGAUCAUUCUAGGUAAGCAAAUAAGCAACCCAAAGUAGCGCUGGCCAGCCUUUUCAUGAAAGAGCAUCAUCAAGAUAAGAUUGAUAACAAAAUAGAUCUCAACCAAAGGUUCAGCGAUUACAAAUCAAGAUCUUCGUAUAACCCCGAUGACAAAUAGAGGUAUUACCCCCAUGAUCUUACACAUGUUGAUGAAUUUUAGGGUAAAGGACACCCUGUAGAUCAACUGGACCAAAGAUGAUGAUGAACGGGGGCAGGGAAGGCCCAGGUUGAUCAGCCUGCGCACUUUUGAGCCGAUCAGCUCAGGGGGUUUCCUCCUCCCCUGGUGCUCCUCUUCGCGUGGCCUCCUCUGGAUCCAAUCUUCUCUUCAUUUCUCCUACUUGUGGCGGCAAUGGAUGGUGUUUGCAUGGUGAUUUCCUCUUCUCCCCAACUCUCCCUCCUUGAAGUCCAUGAGGGGGUAUUAAUAGUCUCCAAUAGGCGGCAGCUCUGGGUCAAUGUCAGUGAAAAAAUCCUAGAGAUCAUCGUACACUUCAUGCUGAGGAAACAAGAGGUUGACCGAGCCCUGGGAUAGACCAAGAGGAUCAUCCUAGAGGGUCCCAGGCUAAUCGGUCUAGGCCCUUCCUAGCCCUUCUAGUCCUCUCCUUCCUCGUGCUGGCUUUUCUCGAUGACCCUUGUCCAAAUAUCCAUGAAGCUCUAUAUACAUACCCCCUUGAUUAUGUUGUAUUUCCUGUCAAAAUACAAUGCUCCAAAAUACAACACAUAUGCAAUAAUAGGGUUAUUUCAGGUGCCAAUUGGUGGGUUAGUAUACGAAUAAGCAUGAAAAUACUGUUUAAAUGACACUAAAAGUGUGUCAAUAACGAGCACCAACAAUCCCCCCACGCUUAGAUCUUGCUCGUCCUCGAGCAAGUCUAGCGACUAAAAGAUCUUGAAUUAAACCUGAGCAAGCGAGUCAAGUACCUAGCCUUGAAACAAAAGAUUAGAGGAGCAGCAAAGAUAAUCAAAGUCUGGGUGUUCAAAGAUUUAUCUAAGCAAAGAUUCCCCUACAACUAUUAUUCAGAACCAAGUAACUUCAAAAAUCAACUACACUUAUUUUCUGGCUUUUUUCAGAGGGUUUUUCUUUCAUCAUAAAACAAUCUCCCUGCAACAAAAUUGAAAAAAGAAUUAUUUUCAAGGUGCUUACAUGUCGCUUAAAUGAAUGUUGGCUAUCCUACUUAUUUGCAAGCUCUCAUCUCUCAAAAUUCAUUCAAUUAUAUGGUGGAGUUUGGGUAAGGUUAGCUAGAAUCAACACGUAUAUUAUUGAAUUAAGAAAACCCUCUAACGGUGGCCUACCUUCCGAGCCAUUGAUCAUAAGAAUAUCCACAUAAUGUGAAGUUUUCAAGGAUGAGAAGAUAUAGAAUGGUGGACAUGUGCAAAGGCAAAGAAAUAUAGUGACUCUGAGGCACAAGCAAUGUCCUCGUCGUUGGAUUGCAUAUGGUUGUAAUGAAAAUAUGUUCCUUAAACAAGUCUAUCUUUUCUUUGCACCACUCUUGAUCUUCAUGACAGUAAAAACUCCUCCUUUAUUUCUUUCUCUCUUUUCCUAUUAUUUCUUUUUAUUUGUCUCAAUACUUUUAUUUCUUUAUUUCUUUAUUUUAAUCUCUUCUCUGAACCUCUUCUGAACACCACAUAAUAAAAAUAAGUUUUAGAUCCUUCCAGAGACCUUCCAGGAAUUUGCUACAUGAAAACCGAGGCAAGGAGACCCCAGGCCGAUUGGCCUAGCCACUCCUUUGCUCUCCUCUAGCUCUUCUUUCUGGUGAAGCUUCCUUAUCUUGUAUCUUUCCAAAAAUUUCAUAAAGCUCGACUAGAAACGGAACAGAUCUUCAUAUAAUGAGUUGUGUUCAAGGAAUUGGUAAUAAAAUUGAGAAAUUUGUGGUUCGGGUUUACGAAUUCAGUACAAAAAUAUGAUUGUUCCAAUGAAGAACUCUCAUUACUGAAUAUUGACGAGGCAAGCAUUCAAAGAUGGUAAAAAGGAUAUGAUCAAUUCUCAAAAUUAAAGCAAACCAAGAGAGAGCGAUCCUAAUUCAAUUCAAAGUGUCAAAUGUUGCUUAUGGUGGUAUGAAUAAAUAUUUUUAGGCAUUGGGUAGGAUAAAUAAAAACUCUCAACCUGGUUAAAAGAUAUUGAUCAAUCUUGUUUUUGCAGAGGUUUUAAAUAAAAAAUAAAAUUUUAAAUCACCUCCAAUUCAAAGCCUUACUCAUAAAUCAUAAUCAAAACUGAAGCACUUGAUCAUCAUAAAGCAUGGGUAUUGCAUAAACAAAUCGAUUACUAAAACUCCACAACUACGAUUUAGAAUUCAAGACAAUGCUCAUAAUCUAAAGUUGCAAAGAUAAAAUAAAAGACAACCAAGCCAAGGUAGACACUAAAAACACUUGCACGAUCCUUGAAUUUUAUUCAUGCUUCUUCUCACAAAGACGCUAAAGUAGCCAUGUAGGCCUAAGUCUUCCCAAAAGCUUAAGAAAACUACUACUUUAUCUACUUUUGGUUGAAAUAAAAAGACUAAUCUAGACUCUCACAUGAUUCGACUCGACCAAAUUAGAUCCAAAAACUCAUACGAGCGACGAUCUCCCCCCCCUCACGCUUAAAAUCUACGACCUCCUCGUCGUAGCCAUAUGGAGUACAAGGAAAAGAAGCUUGUAAACGCUCUAAUGACGCUACCCGCACUACUUGCACACGGGAUGGUUGCUGCUUCCUUCGCUUUGUUCUUCCUCAUGUUGCUGCACAUCCCGAAGAGCUUCCUCACGUUCCUCUGCAAGAACUUGAACUCGUCCUCCUGACGGCGAUCAUUAUCUUCUGCCUUUUGAUCCAGAGCUUGUAAGGCUUGCAUGAUGUCAUCGAACGCAUCGAAGAGGUAGUGGAUGUUCUUCCUGCAAGCUGUGGAACAUGUACGAUCAUGCUCCUCCGAUUCUGGCCCGUCGUCUUCUAGAUCCUUCUCUUUGCCCUUGUCUUGACGGUGGCUAUCUUGCUCCUUGCUCGCCUUCUUGCCUUCAGCCCAAUCCCAGUACGUGUUGUCAUCUUCUUCAUCGUCACGGCCUGCAGCACCCUAUGAUCCAUUGUCUAUCUUGUAUGAAAGAAUCAGAAGCUUGUUCUCCUCAGGGUGUCUUGCGCGGUGCAGCGUUUGCAAGUGCAAGACUUGCUAGUUCCUUUUACACAUUGUAAUGUUCAUUGCAUGCUCUAAUUGUUCUACAUUUGUAAUUUCUUGGUGAAGUUUGGUUACUGAUCCACUGUUUGAUUAACUCUUGGGCCCAAACACUGUACUACUUCUGAUUAGAUAUCUGUAUCUUGACUUUGACCAAAAAAAAUAUCCGGCAGUUUUUGCCAUUAAAGUUUCAUAAAUCAUCUUGCAAAAAUCGUACUAUACAACAAGGGACGGUUUAUUAUAAAAUAUACGUUCCCCUUAUCACAUGCCACUUCCACUCAAAAGGCAACGAAUCAGUUUUCAAUCCUGAGUGAGCAAUUUGCUUUUAUUACCGAUGCCUCCUAUUCCCUUGUGCACCAAGUUUAUUUUGGAUAGGGCUGCAAAAAACGACUAACCAGCUCGGAUUCUCCACCUGCAAAACCGCAUCUGCAGCAACCAACCCCACGCGGUGGAAAAAAAAACAAAACCUAGAAACCGGACGGGGGUGGAUGUGGGGCUCGGAGCCCAAGCAAAAAACGGAUCGGGAGCGCCGGAGCAGGCCAUCACCGGAUGUUAGAGAUAGAAAAUGGUUGAAGUUUGGAGUGGAAAUCAAACAAGCCUUGGAGCAAAGGAAAAAAAAAGAUCAAACCACUCAAGCAUUCAUUUGAUUUAGAAAAGAGAACAUUUGUUAAGGUGGGGAGUUGAAAUCAUCUUUUAAUUAGUUCCACGUAUCUGGUAUCAUUACAGUUGGUUUACUUGUGUAAGUAUAAGUAGCUCUGCCGAAGCCUUUGCUCCUAUAAUUUAGUAACUAGUACAAAUGGAUCAAUAGGAAAAUCAAGUUGCAAUCAUUUCUCAGCCAACCAAACCUAUGUAAAUCAAAUUAUUGUCCAUGCCCGGCAUGCACAGGUGCCUGCCAUGCAUGCAUUGUUGCUCCAUUGUAAUAACCAUUAUUGUCCAUCGAUGUUGCAGCGCAUGUGUGCACUGUGCAGACACCAAGCAUCGAGAUUAUGUACUAGUAAGGUGUUGAAAUAAUGGGCCUAGCCCAUAAGUAAUUUCAGAAUUUCAAAUAAAUCUCAAAGGCCCAUGUGGGCAAGAGGUGGAGUGGUGCAAGUCUUUAGUCCCACAUUGCUAGUCGAGGGGAGGGAUGACCAACUUAAAUAUGGAAGUUGUCUCCACUCCUCCAAGCUAUGUGUGAAGGGCGCGGGCGCGAGGCACUUGCGUGAAUGGUCCGCCGAAAUCUGGCCCCCCUUGCGGGGGCGCGGCUUCCUUUUGCCGUUUUAUUUUUUGGUUACUUGGUCGUUAAGUCAUGGAAUCCUAACCGGUUUAGAUCACGAUCGUGAAGGUUUUUGGGAAGCGCUCUGCGCGACUGCUCGAUCGCUUCUUCCGCUUCGUCAAGUUCUUCGUCGACUCCUUCACCACGGCUCGUCUACCUCUUCGUCGCUCGGGCCUCACUCGUCGUCGCGAACAACGUCAGGCUGCUGAUCGUCGUCGCCUGCUGUAUCCGGUAGUCGUCCAGGAGCCGGUUUUCAUCAAGAAAGAAACGUACGGUCUCUUAACUCACAUUAUGUCUUCCAUACUAGCUAUUAUGAUUGUUGCAGUCUGAUAGCUCUGGAUAGUAUGGUAGAAUGUCUGAUUCUAUUUGCAAUGAUAGACUUGUCUAGAUCUUGCGUAGACAUGUCUAGUUUAAUCUGCUGCUUGUUCAUCAUAUUCAUGAUUUAUUUCUGGAUUAAGUUAAAACUAAAAGUGCUUAUAUAUCCAACAUAAGGUACCAAGAACACGUGAAGCACCCGGGGGAGGCUGCUCCACUCCGCAUGCACAGGUGGGCACGGCACCACUACUCGUCUCCUUCAGGCUGAGGAUAAGUGAUGUACGCUGAUCAACAGACCACGACGGAACCAGCAAUAAUAGUUUCAGCCUGCCUCACAGUAAUUAAUAUAUCCUGUAUCCUCCGAGGACCCCUCCCCUUAAUCUUGGCCUAUUGCAUCCAAUAAUGAUAUGUGUGUUUAUCCAAAUUUACGGCACCUUUGGCGGGGGUUCCACCCAGCUCCGCCCUCUCCACCUUCGGUACUCCAUGGGAAACCAUUCCUUUGGAAUCAAGGAAGCUUGAACAGUAUAACGAAUAAAGUUUCAUAUAUCCAUUUGAUUUCACAUGAAAUAAAAUAUUCUGUCAGAACCAAUGGUUUCACUGAAGCUCCAGGCAGCGAGCGAAGGGGUGAGAGAGGAUAACGCUUACUGUGUGUUACCAUCGCGUGCACCAUGGAUGACCAACGCGCAGCCGAGAUGAAACGGCGGACCUAAACAGGUCCUCGCUAUUUUUGCAGGUUCUCGACCAGGCCAGUUCUUUAGGCCAACCUAUCAUUCACGAGUUAAACAUACGGUGGCUGGAGAAAUGUUCUAUUCUUUUAAACAAUACCAGCUGGUUCCUCCGUUUUUAUUCCACCAAUACAAGCACCACCUUGUAACAUUUCCUAUGUUUUUUUUCCUUUCGUCUGUUUUCUCACUACAUGCGUUGCUCUUUCAUGCAUUUUUUUCCAUUCCUGUAUUCCAAAUAGGUCUACAUGAACACAAAAUGAACUAGGGGACAGAAAAAGCCAGUGAAGUUAGUUUUGAGCUUCACCAGCUACUUGCUACAUAAAGUGUGCUAUAGUCGCAGAAAAGCUAAGCUGGAUCAGACGUGGCCGAAACAAUGCCAAAGAGCUAGGUCCCUAGCUGAUGGCAACACAUCAGAUGACUAGCCUGCUUUUCUGUAAUAAUGAUAUUGAGCAAUACACUGCAUGGCUAACCUGCUUUACAAUAAUUGUCAUUUUAUAAUAUUGGUCAUCACGAGAGAUGCACAUUGCAUACACCGGCCCAUCCCUAUAAAUAGCCAAGCCUUUCAGCCAUCUUGGGCACCUCCUCUCAGGGCCUCGUCUCACCAUCAGACAUCUCGUUCCCAGUUAUAAUUUGCGAGGUUAGAUCAGGCUGCGCCAUGGCGUCCGCAACUGCUGUCAAGAUCGUCGCCACCUUCAUGCUGGUGCUGACCAUGGGCCACCUGAUGGCCGAAGCAUCACCGCAGCCUCGGCGUGUGCUUGCAGAAACGGAGCAUGCUGCGGUGUCCGGGAAUCCUGGCCUCCCAGGUGAUGCUAGCGUCAUGCAGGUCCUCGAACCCGCCCUAGUUUCUCGGCUUGCCUGCAAACCAGAGUGCACAGUCCCUUGGCCUCCUUUUGUAUGUAUCUGCUAGAUCCUCUUCCUGGCUCAACGGAACUUCAGGGAAAUGGCUGUGACGUCGGCCAAAGAAUAAAUUGGAUGAACAUAAUAUACCCCGGGUAGUGUAGCUUGGGCUUUUGUUGAGCGUCUGGUGCUAGUUGUAUUUUGUUUGCUCAUGUGGCUUUGCUUCUGGUUGCAUAUUGGCUUUCCUAUCGCUCUCUGUUGCAGCUAUGGUUUCUGCCAGGUGUGUGUUAAUGCGGUUUGUAAGCGGUGCUUGUUCCUACCUUCUGUUUUCAAUAAAAGAAGUCGGAGUCUCCCUCCGACUCUUGUUAUCAGUCAACAAAAAUGAGUUGUAUCAUAUAUAUCUGCGUCUUUUUUCUACGUAUCUUUGGGCUGCUUCAGCUGGAAGUUUAUCGUAAGUACGUGUAUCAGGAUGAUCGUUUGAAUUAAAACGAAAUGAUAAUGUGUGGCUGCUAGAAAUGGAAUGAGCAUCUUACUAUAUUACUAAUUGGAAGCCUCCACGUGAAGCCACCUAGAAAUUCUAGGUGGACGUUUUAAAAAAAACAAAACUCAUAGAAGCCUCCACCACCUAGGAAUCCUAGGUGGACACUCUAAAAAGAGACAAAUCCUAGAAAUUCUAAAAAAAGAAAAAAAUAAUAACAAUAAGAUUUUUUUGCAGUCAAUUACAUAUAUUUUUUUGAGACACCGUGCUGCUAGCUCUUGCCAUUGCGACCAGUAAAGCAAGCAGAUAGUAAGAUGACAUGCGUGUGGAUUGAUUAAAACAAAUUCAGUUAGUUGAUUCUAAAUCGUAUGUAUCCUAAAAGGAAGAUAUGUGCGUGCAUGGUCCCUAGCGAUGACAUGUAGACAUGUAUUGCAAUUUCUUUUUUAAAAAACAUGUCUAUCUCUAAACCAACAAACAGAAAAAAUAUCAAUCUAAAUCUAAAUCUCUUCCGUUCUCACACGCCUAUUAAAGAGAAGACAACCAAUCCCAUCCAUGUUCCAUAGAAUCCAUCUAAAAGCUUGCUCACUGCGGACGGCAUUUGACGGCAAAUCAAUGAAAGAUCAUCCUCUCCAAAUAGCUGGACGGCAUCACCAUCUUUAUCUCACCAACCUACAGAGCUACAACGAUGUUGUAGAGAUCAACUAGGUAACCUACCAAUCACCCUCCCCUUUUCUAUAUGCUCUAAAGAACACGUGGAGUAAUUAUAGGCCUAUAGGAGCCGACUAACCUAGAUUAAUAUGAAAAAUAUUCCAAUAUUAAAAGCAAGCAGAUAGUAAUACUUGCCUUUGACCAUUUUUCUAGAACUGUUAUUCCUAUUGAAUGUUCAAGUGCUACGGCCAGGCAUCGAAUGCCUGCACGGAACCUUCCUAUUGAAUGGUUACUCUAGAGAUCAACGCACCGCGAGACAUUUUUAUGGAAUUUGUUUGAUUCCCCUUCUACAAUUAGAUUAAUUUUUCAUGGCAUAUAUUACUACUAUUAAAUUAUUUGUUUAUUGUCGGGCCUGCUGCAUGUGUGGUAUAUAUGACUUGCUUCUCACCAUUGUUCUCAAACUAUUAUUCCUAUCGAAUCUUUCUAUCGAAAUAUAUUUUAAUUACUUGAUUGUUGUUUGUGUACCAUAACUUCUGUAUAGAAAAAUUCCAUGUUUGUAGAUAAUGUCUUUUGUAUAGAAAAAUAGCCCAAUUAGAUCCAUCACCAUCUUUUGCUUAUGUAGUUGAACAAGUUGCAAUGUUGAACAAAACUUUAAGUGAAAUUAGACCAGGAAAAGGAAUUGUGGAACAUUAAGGCAAGGGUAACCAGAUUGUGGAAUGCAACCUUACUCAGUAGUGGCGAACAAUUAAGUCUUGACAUGAUCCUUAUUGAUCAAAAGGUAUGAUAGAUGUUCACUUUGAUUGCAUUAUUGGUAUAAUUUUUGGUUUACAAAUUAUUAAUGAUGAUGCAAAAUUAGGGAACCAUGAUCCACGGUGUUAUCAAUAAGCCCUAUAUGAAAAAGUUCAAACCAUUGAUUGAAGAAGGCAAUGUGUACAUAAUUGCAAAUGUCAGAAUCACACCAGAACCACAGAAGUAUCGGCCAGUGGAAAAUGACAGGAUAGUCAACUUCUUACCCACAACUGCACUAAAAACGAUCAAAGAUACUGAAGACAUUCCAAAGUAUAGUUUUAACUUCAUGAGCACGGAUAUGCUUUCAGCAAGAAUAAAUGUGGACAUGUACCUAUUAGGUAAAACAUUACUGGCUUUUCAAUUUUUACACUUCCACUCAUUAAAUGACCAUCUAAUAAUAAUACAUAUUUAUGUUUCAUAGAUGUUAUAGGUAUCUCAGCUCACAUUGGACCGAUAGAAGAAACAAGGACAAACUUCGGAUUUACUAAAAUCCGUGAUAUUGUGCUCCUGAUCGAGUAAUUCUCUUUUCUUUUGUAGAAAACAACUACAAAACUUUCAACAUUUACAUGUAUGUUAUAGAACUUCUGUUGAACUAAAAAAUAUCUUCUACAGUGCCCCUACAAAUAAUUAAUUUCGUAGUUGGAUAUUUAAAAUAUUUAUUAUUCACUUUUAAAUUUGUGGCCAUGAAGUUAAAGUUAGAUUUUGGGGAGACAAAGUUGAGGAAGUUGAUGAUAAGACAAAAUCCCAUGUCAUUGCAAUAACAUCUACAACUGUGAGUAAAUUUGGCAGUAAGUCUUCAUUCAAUAUGAGUUAUUCAAUAUUAGUCAUUCAACAAACUAACCUCGUAAGAAAAAUAAAUAAUUGAUGUUUUAUCAGGGUAUUCUCUAUCGUCAACCAAUGCAACAAAACUUUAUGUAGAUCUACCUAUUCCUGAAACUAAGGAUGCACAUGAUAGGUGAGAAAAAUUAGAUAUUGUUUUUCUAUUUUAAUCUAUGUAGCAUGCACUCUAACAUGAUACAUUCUUUCAUAUGAUAAAAAAAUGUUAGUUCAAUUGAAAAUAUUGUCAAAGAGAUUCAUAUUGAGGACCAUCUAAAAGGGACAUUGGAAGACCAAAUGCAGUACAAUAGAAGAACUUUAGAAGAAUUAAAUUUCAUAUUAUUUGAAACAUCAAAUCAGGUAUGGAUUAGUAUGUUCAUUGUACACUAUACUAUUUAAAGACUUACAUACAUAAUGAUGGUAUUGUUCCUACUUUCAGGAUGAGGUAUUUACUAUUGAAGCAACAAUAAAUGAAAUUAAUGCAACAUAUGGUUGGUUGUCACACCCGAUUUUAAGGACAAAAUUGAGUGCAUUAAAUACAUGUGCACCAGGAUCAAGUUACACACAUCCUAUGAGUACCGUCCUUCUUUGGCACAAAGAUAACCGGUGCUCCCCAUGGUGAUGAACUAGGCCGAAUAAACUAUUUUGCUGAUAAUUCCUCUAGUUGUUGUUUCAAUUCUUUUAAUUGUUCAACCAACAUUCUAUAAGGACGUUUGGAGAUAGGUGCAGUACCAGGUAAAAGAUCAAUAGCAAAUUCAAUGUCGCGGUCAGGUGGCAUACCUGGUAAAUCGUCGGGGAACACAUCCGGAUAGUCACACACCACUUUGAUAUCUUCCAAGGAUUUUCCAGCCAACUGAUUAACUGCACAAUCUGCUGCUGAGGGUAGAGUAGCUACAAACUCCACUUUCUCUCCAUCAGGACCUGUUAGCAGAACUGUCCUCUUGGCACACUGAAUCGUUGCAUCAAAAGCGGCUAACCACCUCAUCCCCAGAAUUACAUCGAUUCCACUGGACUCAAGGACGAUAAGAUCAGCCGGAAACUCUAUACCCAUUAUUCUCAGUUUAACUUGUGGACAGAUGUAUUGAGCCUUCAUUGACCCCCCAGGUGAACUCACUAGCAUAUGACGCCUCAUGGUAUGCAUGGGUAAAUUAUGCUUUGCUACAUAAUGACUAGUGACAAAAGAAUGCGAUGCUCCAGAGUCAAAUAAAACUGAUGCGGGGGCAGAGUUGACAAAGAACAUACCAAGCACUACAUCUGGAGCCUCCUUAGCAGUCUCGGCUUCCAUGUGGUUCACCUUGCCACAAACAAAGCUUUGCUGCCCCUGAUUGCCUUGUGGGGUCUGGUUCCCAUUCCUCGGUUGCUGCAUCUGAUUCUGCCGAGGAGCACUGCUGUUCUGCACGGGGGUAGCUGGCCCACCUCUCUUAGGACAAGAGCUGGCAUAGUGACCAACCUCGCCACACUUGAAGCAGGUAGGACCCACUGGAGCAUUGGGCCUUGUUGGAGUGCCAGUAGGGGUCAUCUGGCGGUUCUGCGUAAAGCUUGGGCGCGGAGUCUGCAUAGUCUGCAUCCCUGGAUGCUGGAACUGAGGGCUAGGGCGCUGGAAUGACUGCUGAGCAGGGCGCGGAAAUGAGUGCUGCCAAAAAUUCCCACUCGGGCCCCCUGCGCGGAACGGCGUCCCUUGCUGUGGAGCAAAGCGAGGGCGGGUGUUGCUUCCUGAAGACUACUGGGAAUUGAAUUUCCUCUUCAUCUCCCCGAGCUCGUUCCUCUUGUGUUCCAGGCCAAUUGCCUUGUCUAGCAUCUUCUGGAAACUGGGGAAGGUGUGCGACAUAAGCUGAUAUUGGAGUGGUCCAAUCAACCCAUCCAAGAAUAGCUCCUGCUUCUGCUCAUCAUCAGCAACAUCUUCGGGAGCAUAUCGGGACAACUGGACAAACUUGUCCCUGUACUCUGCCACUGUCAUGUUCCCCUGCUUGAGAGCAAGGAACUCCUUCUUCUUAAGCUUCAUCAAUCCGGAAGGAAUAUGAUGACUUCUGAAGCUAGUCCUGAAUUCAUCCCAGGUGAUGCCAUUAGCAUUGGCAUGGGUGGUGGUGUAAGCAUCCCACCAAUCAGCAGCUGGCCCUUCCAGGCGUCCUGAAGCAUACAGGACCUUCUCCCUGUCAGUACAUUGGGCGAUAUCCAGCAUCUUCUCCACUGUUUUCAGCCAAUCAUCAGCAUCUAAUGGAUCCGGAGAAUGUGAAAACGUCGGGGGCUUGUGGCUCAUGAACUCCCUAUGCCUGUCCCUUGGCGGCGGCUGCUGCUGGUUGUUGUUGUUGUUAUUGUUCAGCUGAGCUUGUAAAGCUGCCACGGUGUUGGUCAGUCCGGCGAGAAGCUGAGUCUGAGCUGCUAGAAACUGCUCCAUCCCUGCAGGUGCUUGUUGGUUCUGUUGCGGAGCGGUGUUGGGAUUGCUGCUGUUGUCCCUGUGGCGUGGCACUGUGGGACGGUCAACUCCUGAUCCGGACCUGGUGUUUACCAUCUGAGCGUUAGAGACAAUGGAUUUAGAUAGAUGUGUGAAAGAAUAACUGAGAAAGAUAAAGCGACCAGAUGUAAAAGUAACACAGAUUCUGUUAGCUCCAUUUAAUUAGGUGUGGUCGUCAGAAGAAGUGUCCAUAAAUUCUGAACAAUUACCAAGUCGUAACUUAUUAAAUUUGUAAACCAACCCAACUGGAAUCAUCUCAAUCGGACUUCUGGAUCUCGAGUUACAAAAUUAACAAGCUGACAGUGUCGGUCGAUAGGUUCAGAUUCUGAGUGCUUUACUAAUUCGCAUACACCUCCCAGACAGAUACACCAAAAAUUCUGAAAAAUUUACAGAUAGUACUCCACGAAAUUCUGAAACUAACCCCACUGGUUUCAUGUCAUUUGGACUUCUGUAGCUAGAGAUAUAAAUAAAAAAGUACUGGCGUGUCAGUUAAUGUCGAGAACAGAAUUGAAUGUCGCUUAGCUUGCGUGAUGGAUAGAUUUAGACAGAUGGUAGAUCAUGAUUAAGGAAGAUUAAAUACUGAUUUAGAACAGAAAUAAAACCCAACUAAGCACUUUAUUUAUUAAGACCAGUAUCGUGUGGCAAUUGCCCCACAUACCGCACUCAUUACAAAAUCCAACUCAAACAUGUAGCACAAAACCAAUCAUCUAAGCACACUUUAACUAACACACUCGAACGACGUCUAACGAUUACAAGAAUUUAAACUAAAACACUCCUAAUUUCCUAGAGGUCUUCUGCGGCGGUGCCGGGCGAGUCGUAGCGGGGACGCUUAGGCGACGGCGACGAAGCGGGAUGAACAGCAAACUCCUGCGGCGGCGGUGCUCCCGUCGCGGCAGCCAUAUUCGCAUCCCUCUCCCACCGGAGUUCCUGAACCUCCUGUUGAAGCUCCUGGAUGUGGUUGUUUGCUUCAUUCAAUGCGGUGAGAGCUGCCGACGUGUACUUGCGGAGGAAGUCUGUAGCCAUGUCAACCCCAUCGUUAGUAGCGAUGAAGGUUCUUGCUUCCCCACUAGCUCGGUAAGGAAGGAACCGAUGGUAAGUGUGCUGCAAUCGCGGCCGUUCCUUGUGGGAGACGACCUCAAGUGCCCUCCUGGCGGCCUCGGCAAUGCCGGAUUCCAUGGUCCUCCUUAUGGUCACAUCAUGGUGAAAAGCCUUCACCUCCCAUCCUCCCUCGUGCUCCUCACGAAGGACAACCUUCACCUCCCAAAAAGUGGGAUAGCGAGGGUGGGUGAACCGGGAGCACUUGUAGAGUGGCCUCAUGCCGUACCCCAAGCGGUGACAAGUCCACCUGAGUAUGUCGGCCAUGUGCACUCCUUGGCCAUAAUCUUCCUUCACCCAUUUGAUCCAUGUCUCGGGCUCGGGAUCUGCUUCGGGCUCAUCAUCCGUCAAGUCGACGACCGGUACGGGCGUCGGGGCUGGUGCAGGAGCGGGCGCCGGUGCUGGCGACGGUGCUGGUGACGGCGUGGUCUCCUGCUCCACGGUCACGGCGUCCCCGUCAGAGUCAUCCCCCGGAUGCUGGAAGAUCUCUUCCUCUUCUUCCUCGUCCCAAGGCUCCAUGGGGGCGUACGACGGCGCGAUGCCAUGACGCGGCGGACGGGUGCUCUUGCGUGCGGUCAACCGGGUGCGAGCCAUCUAACAGAAAGAAAGAAGAAAAUUUUAGAAUAAAAUUUUGAACAAAGCUAGAUAAUAAAAUAGCAAUAAGGAUGAGACAAAUCAAGUUUAAGAAUAAUUAAGUAGAUUUAAAUUAAGAAAGGUAGGAAUGGCUACUAGAUUAUUAUAAUCCUUAAAUACGACCAUUUUCUAACUAGGCUAACGUCCUACAGUCAACACGGCUCUGGUACCACUUUUGUCACACCCGAUUUUAAGGACAAAAUCGAGUGCAUUAAAUACAUGUGCGCCAGGAUCAAGUUACACACAUGUACGACAAUAGUGAAUAGUAAAGCCAGUGCUAAAUCGAAUAAAGAGAGUAUUAACCAUUAUUACAUGACCGAAUGUCUCAAAUAAACCACAAAGUCUAAUUAUUACGCAGCGGAACUCCAAAGAUGACGACGACUCCAUAGGCAGCUGACUGAAGAAACGUACGCCUAGAACUCCUCGAAGUCGUGGAAGUACUCCUCUUCCCAAUUAACUUGGUCUGAACAGCGGUUUUGCAAGGGUGAGUACACUUAUGGUUGGUACUCAACAAGUCGUGGGAAGUAGUGUAGUGUAAGGCUAAUUCAAGGUAUGGCUAAGGCGUAAAUAGCAUUCGCUUUUAAUUAAGUUGGUCAAAUUUUAUUAGCAUUUACUAAGUAUAAGUUCAUACCACCCGAAAUUAAACAUGAACAUAAAGUAAACCACAUGUGCAUGAAAUGAUAACAAAUUAAAUCCAUCUUCCGAUAAUAUUAUCAUGUGAGGGUCCAGGCCGCUCUUAACCGUGAGCACGGCUGAUUGAUCAGUUUAACACUCUGCAGAGGUGGCACAUCUUUACCCACAAGUCGCGUAAAAGUUCAAAAGAACUUUGGACCCAACCAUGCGGUGUUUGCAAGGCACCAUACCACACUUCCGAGGUGUGAUUGCAUAGGGACGCUACGAGGCCUUUACAAAGAUUCAUUAAUCAGUGGUAACCCGCUAAGGUUUCGGUGUCUGGCGUGCACCACCCAUCCCAGGUAAAAUGCAACGACUCAGUCCCCCCCCUUGAAUCAUCACGAGUAAGGUCACCCCAGACUAAGGUUUCUAAUUAAUCAGCCAAGACCAGAGCUAUUUAGUCUUGUGGUAGCACUGUUUUCCUGGGUGGUCGCUCCAUGUUCUGAUUAACAAAUAAUGAUCUUGUCUUAAUGAAAGGUAUAACAGAAAUAAGGCAAGAUUAAGCAUUGUUUUUAGUUAAACCACCAUGUACCAAGUAAGCACUAAGCAUGAGCUACCCAACAUAAAGUAAACCGGUUGGUCAAGGCAAAGGUAAAACAAUCUAGGCCAACCUUAAUUGGGACCCAUCAAUUUAAUCUUAAUAUGUGCACAGCAUAAAUGUUGAGUACGAGAAAGUAAAGGUGUAUAGGACAAAAAGGUAGUGAUCAAGGACACGACUUGCCUUCUUGGCCUUGCUCCUGCUGUUCGUACUCCUCGAAGGCUUGAUCGGCAACUCCCUCGAACUGCGGGGCGUCUACACGCAUCACACGAGCACAUACAAGCAAACAUGGGCAAAAGUAAGAAAACAGUAUACCAAACAUAGUCAAACAGAGAAAACAAGCUUGAAAAGAUGAUCUACGCUUUAAAACGAACACGCGGAUAUAAAGAACGCGAAAAACGGAGUUAAGAUGCAAAAGAUAUGAUUAAAACAAAAUCCAGGGACUUUUCUGUAAGAAAAACAAAACUUUUAGGGCCUAUCCGCGAAAACCGAGGGCUUAUACGUAAUUAUGCGUAUAAACCGAGGGUCUGAUGCGUAAAAACAUCAAACCCGGACGGCGGGUUGAUUUCUGGAAAGGUCAAGGGUUAAACCGAAAAAUGCGAGGGCAGAUCUGUAAAUACUUUCAACGCGAUCUGGACCGCGGGUUGAUUUGCGAAAAAGGCGGGGGCUAAAGUGCAAAAACUGCACGGCGCGGCUCGGUUGACCGGUACGCGAUCUUGAUUGACUCGCGUCCGGCCGUCGGAUUAAGAUCCGACGGUCGCGGUGAUCCGCGACAUCGCGGCGGCGGCGGCGAGCGGCGGCGAGCGGCGGCAAGCGGCGGCGGGUCGCCGGAGUUAGGCAAAAUAGCGCCACGAGGCACGGUUUAACGCGCGGGUUGCACCAAAAAAGAGAGGGGAACACGUCGAUCCCGUUUUGGGGGUUCUUGUCGACGGGGGCUCACCGGCGACGGCGAACGGCGGCGAGGAAGAGGCGGCGGCGCUAGGAGCUCGGGCGGCUAGGGUUUCGGGGAGCUGCGGCGCUGGUUUUGGGCGGAGGAGACUGGGAGGAGGCGGCGGCUUUUAUAGGGCUUGGAGAUAGAGCCGGCGCGGGUUCAAAUCCCCCGGAGGAGUCGGAGCGGAUGGAGUCCGGGGCGGAGACGGCGCGCGGCGGUUGCGGAGUUCUGACCGGAUUCGGCCGGAGGUGGGAGACGAUGGGUGGGGUCCACCCGUCAGUGGCGGAGGGGAGCGGUAGACGGGCCGGCGCGACCGUGGGCUGGCGCGCGCUCGUGGGCUGCGGGGAGCGGGAGAGAAGCGGCGAGCGGGCGCUGGCGGAGCAGGCCGAGCGGAGGUAGAGCUGGGCCGCGGAGAAAAAGGAGGAGGCCGGCGGGCUGCUUCGCAGGCCGGUAAGGAUGAGGCGGCCGGGCCGAAGAAGAAAAAGAAAAGGAGGGACAAGGAGCUUUCGGCCGAGGGAAAAGAAGAAGAAAAAGAAAAGGAAGAAGAAAAGGGAAAAGGUUUUGGAAUUUGAAUUUAAAUCUGAAAUUCAAAAUUUGAUUCAAACUCAAGCAACCAAAAAUUAUGCUCCAGCAUGAAUGCACAAAUAAUUCCUAUGAUGAAUUAAUUGAAUUAAAGAAAAUGAAUUUAAAUGCCUAGAAAUUAAAUAACACCCUAAUUUGAGCAAAUUUUAAUGAAUUUGAAUUAUUGAAAUUUUGGGUGUUACAUUGGUACUACAUCUCAUGUAGUAGAGGCGAUUGUAAGAAGCAACUUGAAAAGAAGUUUGAUCACUACUAUUGCAAUAAAUGUGACAAGAGAGCCGAACCUAAAGCCCAGUAAAUUAUUUAGUAGUUUACAAUCUUAUUAUAAUACUUCUAUUUCUAAUAGGAGAAUAAUAUUUUCAGAUUCAAAUUAAGCUUCAAAUAAGUGAUCCAACAACAAGUGCAACUUGUGUACUUUUGACAAGGAAGCAGAAAUGAUAAUUAAUGAAUGAGCAGAUUCGAUGAUCACCUCAGUUGAUCAUGAUAAUAAGUAGCUACCAAAAUCAAUUCAGGAAAUAUGUGAAGAAACAUUGAUUUCUCAAUUCAGAUUGACCGAGUACAACUUGACAAGUUUUAGACCUGAUUAUACUGUUUCAAAGAUAUUUUUUCCAAAAGAAAAGGGCAGUUCAAGAAUUGGUAUGGAAAGUGUAAAAAAGGUAACACUUUAUUAUUAAUUUUUUAUUGCACUUUUUUCUUUUGAAUCCGUAAUACUUAAUAAUUUUACUAUAUCAAUGAAACAAAUUCUAACCUAAAUUUAUUUUCUUUUUUAUUAUUUGUAGGAAGUAGAAGACAACUCAGACAAAUGCUACACGAUAACUACCGAGAAUGAAGAGGUAGACACUGAUGACUCUUUUACCGAGAAAGUAACAUUCGUAGAAGAAGCCAUAAGGACUGGGGAAAGAUUGGCUAGAAAAGUAUACUCACUUCCAUGUCAGUGUUCAUUCUAUUUACAAUACAUGCAAAAAAAAUAUUAUUCAUGCAAAAUUGCAGGUCUACUAAGCAUUAAAGGAAUAGCGGAUAGUGCAAUAUGUAAUCUGAGCAGCAUGCAUUACAAAGUGCUCUACUGCAAUUAAAUUAAAAAACAUGAUAUAUGUUGAAUUCUUAGACUUUAUUAUUAUACUUUUCUACGUGACAAUUCACAAUUUUUUAGAAAAAAGAAGAUCCCAGAAGAAGUGACCAUGAAAAAAGGUCUAUGACCAGCAAUAAGAAAAAAUGCAAGCAUAGAAACAAAUCCGUAGAAAACAUAGAAAAUAAGGUACUCCAUAAACAAAAGUAUUCUCUUAUAUUUUUAUUAAAUAUUUUUUUAACACUUGACAAGUUCUUUUUUAGGAUCAAUAUAUCAGCAAUUCAGAUGUCAUUGGAGAUGAAACCUUAGUUCAUCCAAAAGGUCAAAAAAAAACAUCUGAAGAAAGGUGUUUGGCUGAAAAGGAAAAGCAAAAAAGUGGUAAUGCAGACAAACACAUGCAGAAAAAUAUAAAAACAUGUCAUAGGGAGGCAGACCAAUCUUGCAAGGAGGUAUAGACGAAACGUGAUACACGACCUGCCUACCUUGUCGUGGAUACCCCAAGAAGAUGUCAUAGAGGUGCAGACCAAGCUAGCAAGGAGGUCGAAACGUGAUACACGGCCUGCCUACCUUGCCGUGGAUAUUAGCCCUGAGAUCAUUCUACUGUUCAAGGAAUAACACUCAAUGCUGCUGCUGCUGCUGACCUGGCUCCAUAAAGUUAUACUCCUCUAGGUGCUUGCACUAACUUUAUCUGAAGUAUUAUUCUCUCUGCACUGUAUAUAUGGUUAUGGAGUUUGCUGGAGUAUCCGGGGCGAAGAACCUACAUAAUACGUCUUGGAACUAAUUGACAUUGAUUCACAGACAAACUCUACAAGGUGCUGUUCUUGCCAUUUUAGAGCAUCCAAAGGACUAUAAAUAACAUAGUUUACCAUAUACCAUAUACCAUAUACCAUAAUAUGUUAGCUAAAAUAAGAGCAUACACAUGUUGCAGGAGUCCAAAAGCACCGGUUGAGGACCAGGUACAUUGAAUUACUAGAAAAAGACAGGGGACAAGGUUUAGGUAACCACAUGAAACAUUUGAAUUUAUUGUACUAUGAACACUUAGUUACCAUGCCAGGAGCACAUAGUUAACACUAACAUUUAGCCACUUUAGAUCAUCCCGAAUCACCAAUGACCCUCAAUAGUGACAAAUUUUGGUUUAAAUGCCAUCACCAAUGAUCCUCAAUAGUGACGUAUUUAGGUUUAAAUCCCGUCACUAAUAACCCUCAAUAGUGACCUGUUUUGGUUUAAAUCUCAUUACCACUGAUCCUCAAUAGUGAUGUGUUUUAGCAAAACAUGUUAUCAAUGACUUGUCAUUGGUGACGUGUUAAAACGCGUUAUCUCAAUGGCAAAUCAUUGGUGACGUGUUAUCUCAAUGUUAUCAAUGUUCUAUUCUUUUCAACAAUACCAGCUCGUUCCUCCGUUUUUAUUCCACCAAUACAAGCACCACCUUGUAACAUUUCCUAUGUUUUUUUUCCUUUUGUCUGUUUUCUCACUACAUGCGUUGCUCUUUCAUGCAUUUUUUUCCAUUCCUGUAUUCCAAAUAGGUCUACAUGAACACAAAAUGAACUAGGGGACAGAAAAAGCCAGUGAAGCCAAUUUUGAGCUUCACCAGCUACUUGCUACAUAAAGUGUGCUAUAGUGACGUGUUUUAGCAAAACAUGUUAUCAAUGACUUGUCAUUGGUGACGUGUUAAAACGCGUUAUCUCACUGGCAAAUCAUUGGUGACGUGUUUUAAAAAAACAUGUCACCGUGAGAGUCAUUGGUGAAGGGUAAUUAAAAUGCGUCACUAAUGUUGUAGCAUUAGUUAUGAUAAUUUAGUAACGCAAAAAUCUACCAUCAGUAUUGAGCUUUAGAGCCAUCGCUAAUGUGGGUUUCUUACAUAGUGAUGCAAGCUCUACAAGGUGCUGUUGCUGCCAUUUUAAAGCAUCCCAUGACUACAUGUUAAUAACAUAGUUUACCAUAUAUCAUAAAAAUAUUAGUUACAAUAAGCACAUACGCAUGUGGAAGAGUCCGAAUGCACCGGUUGAGGACUAAACACAUUGAAUUACUAGAACCAAAUGUAUGUUUAGAACAAAGACAGGGGUCAAGGUUUGGGUAACCGCAUUAAAAACAUUGGAUUUUACUGUACAUGAACACUUAGUUACCAUUACCAUGCCUUGAGCACCUAGUUACAACAAACAUUAAUUUAGCCACUUUAGAGCUUCCAGAAUCGCUAUAAAUAAUAUACCUACGCCGUACCAUGAAAACAUCAAGAAGAGAGACGGAUACAUGGACCACCAUCAAGCGAGUAGUGACAGCACGCACAAGAAUACCCGGAACCUGUUAGCUUGUCUGUAGUGAUCUGUUUUCUUCCCCAUAAAAUCCAUGAGUAUUGCCACAAAUAAUGAAAGAGGCUGACCAAGCUAGCAAGGAGGUAGAGCAAACGUGAUACACGGCCUGCCAAGAUUGCCCUGGAUACGCCAAUAAGAGCGACAGAUACAUGGAUCACACCAAUAUGGUGAAACGUAUAUUCAUCACACAAGCAAAGCUGGUCAGUUUAUCCAUGGUCAAAUUGUGGUCUUUGUUUUCACUUGAGAGCUAAUUGAGGCACUAUAAUAUGGGCAGGCCUAUCUUCAACAGACAUGACAGCUACAGGGAACUUGACAUAAUUUGCUGGGCCGCCUGUGCACAAUUAUUUGUUUUAUUGUCCUUGCAUAGAAUGCUAAAAUACUCUUUACAAAAUGUUGGAUCUAAUAUUUGAAAUAUAGAGUAGUAAUCAUAUAUUGAUCAACAACUUGAAAUUAUCUGUACAUUCUCGGUGAAGCUGUUGAACUAAUUUUUGCAAAUUAUUAAUUCAUCUCAUUACGUAAAGAAAAAAGUAAGUGGAUAAGAUAUUUCGUGGACCACAUCACUGCAAACAUGUCAUGGAGAGACAGACCAAGGAGGCAGGACGUGAUACACGACUUACCCUAGGUUGCCGUGGAACCGCCAAGAAGAGAUACAGAUACAUGGACCACACCAUCUUGGGAGUAGUGACAGCAUAUAUGCAGAAGAAUACCCCGUGCCUAUUUGCAUGCAUGUCUCAAGUGAUCUGUUUUCUUCAGAAAAUACAUGAGCAUUGCCAGAAAGAAUGGCAAGAGACAAACAUGUCAUAGAGACUUGCAUGUCUUGCCUUGGAUACGCCAAGAAGAGGGACACAUACAUGGAUAACACAAAUCUAGUGACACGUAUAUUCAUCACAAAGGCAAAUCUGAUAAUUUUAUCCAUGGAGCAGACCAAGGAGAAAUUGAUGACGGACAUGUGAUCUCUGUAUUCAGUUGAAAGCUAAUUGAGCUACACUAAUAUGAGCAGGACUAUAUUCAAGAGACUUGUUGAGAGCUACAGGGAACUUGUAAUAAUUUGCUGGGCGGCCUGCGCACAAUGAUUUGUUAUACAUAGUUGAAAUAUUUCAAGAAUUUAUCAACCUCAUACUCUGAAACCCUUGGUGCAAUGUACUCUGCUUUCCGAGGUAGACUGUUCACGUAAAAUGAGGUCAUGCGUAAGACGGAAUCGGAUUGGAUUCACAGGGAAUCAGAUUUGGAUAGCACCUUUUAGCAGGUUUUUAGUCAAAUGCAAAUUCGGAUCCACAUGUGGUUGAAUGCGAGUUCAAAAUUCUACUUGGAUAUCCAUUUAAUUUAGGUGAUAGCAAUUAGCACAAAAUGUUGGAUGAACAAAAUCAUAGUUAGACAUACAAUUACAUGUAUGGUUAAAGUAUAAUACAAUACACCAAGAUUAUUCCUUGAAAAUAUUUCUUAAAAAUAUUAUAAUAAAUGAAUAAAUAUAAUUGUGGCCACCAACAAAUAGUCGGUGGUCGCUAAGUUGGAGCCAUUUCUGGUUACUAAUGCGGCCUUCUCCUCGACCAGCGACGACAGCUGAGCUUGUUCCUUCUGACACUAAAUCAUCAGAGUCUUCCCUCCACUACUAUAGAAUGCACCUUUAGCACCAAUUGGGAAAUCCCCUUCAGUAUUGGAUGCUGCAACCAGUGCUAUAUAUCAAAAUGGAGACUAAAAGCCUCGGUCUUGGGUACCGGUUGCAUAACGCAUUACUAAAGGAGGCAAAAGAGAAAUGUAACAAAAAAAAUAUUUUGAAUUCCAAGAAUGUUUCACUAUUCAAGAUGACUAGCUGAGAGUCAACAGACAAGAUACUAGGAAUGUGGGUGCUUGAAUGCAUUUGUACAGAGGUCAUACUAUUUACAAACUCUUCUAUGUUUCCAUAUGACUACCUACUUCAAUGUCACGCGAGCCAUUCAGCUGGACACAUGGCACACUAGCUUGCAUGUCGAAUCCAUGAUUAAUUAUUUGCACUUGUGAUCUCUUACCAGUAUUUGUCCAGACUAGAAACGUGCAACACAUUUUUAGGAUAUGGACACGCAUAUAUUUGGACUAGUAUACAGGUCACCUUUGGAUGCGUACAAGGAUGACCGGGAGGGACUAAUGGAUACAAGGAAGGGACCAUCAGGAUUAAUAUUGACAUAUGCCACAUGACAAUCUUCAUUGUCAUGCAAUCCCUAUCAACAAUCAUGGAAUCCCUAGUGUACUAAUCCCUGGAGGGUUGUGUGGAAAUUUAUUUUACCUUGCGGUGAAAAUCUCAUGAGCAGUCAUUAGUUAAGCUGACUAGCUGAGAUAUAAUAGACAAGCUAGUAAGAUUGGGAGCAUCAAUGCAUCCAUACAGGGUCACAAUAUCCUUUCCAUUCACUUUUAUAUAUAACCCUACGAAUACAAGUCCAACGAAAUGCGGGCCUUUCGAUCAAGAUAAAUUAAAUGGCCCACUUGUAUUUCUAAUCCAGGAUUAACUAUGCCCUCUGUUCAUCUCUUGCAAGCACGUGCAACACAUUUUCACGAUAUGGACAUGCAUGGAGGUUAUUAUACUGUUUGGACAAACUCUGAUGUGCCAUGACCUAAAUGCUUAGGGCCUGUUUGGUUUGAGUUGCUUAUUAUAAGCAACUUAAAGUUGCUUAAAGUUGCUUAUUUGAAGUUGCUUAUUUUUAGUCUAAACUGUUUGGAUACCCUUGCUUAUGAGCAUUGAAUGAGUUGGACAUUGUCAAAUUUGCCCCAUGUGUUGCUACCCCUCCAAUUUGCCUCCCCACCCUUCUUCUUCCUGCACACGUCCGAUCCCGGGGGCCGACGGCGGGCAGGGAGCAGCAGCAGCUGGCCAGGGCGGCGGUGGGGCGGGAGCGGCGGCGCACACCAGCACGCGCUCGCACGCCAGGUGCUAGGGCGCGGCGAGGCAGUCGUCGUAGCCCACCGGGAGCGGGUGCUCGGGCGCGAGGCGGUACUCGACGGAGAUGCCGAGCGUCGGGCGCGCGGCGGCGAGCGCGUUGAGGAAGCGAUGGUAGUGCGGCGACGUCGCGGACUCCGCCACGAAGCCGCCGCCGUGGACGUACACCACCACGGGCAGCUUCGUCUUGCCGUCGGCGGCCGCGGCCGCGGCCUGGGGUGGCAGGUAGAGGCGGACGGAGCAGGAGCCGAGGUCGACGUCCCUGGAGUCGACGCCCGUGGCGGCGUCCAGGCUGGGCCCGACCGGCGGCGGCACGAGCGGGCGCUCGAUGCGGCCGCUCUUGUAAAUCCGACGGGUCUGUGCGGAGGCGGGCGGCGGGCGGGAGCGGCGGGUGGGAGCGGCGGCAGGUGGUGCGGAGGCCGGCGGCGGCGGGUGGCGCGGAGGAAGGGGAGCUGGUGAGUGGUGACAGGGGAGGGGGGGAGAGAGAGGGGGGGUAGGGUGCAUUGAAUGAGGGCAGGAGGUGUAAAGUGCACCUUUUAGUCCCCAUGAGCAACCAUAAGCAGCCCAAGAGUUGCUUAUUUGCUUAUAAUAAGCAACCUCAUAAGCAAGAGUGAUUGGUUUCAUAAGCAACUUAUUUGCUUAUUUUAAGUUGCUUAUGCAUAAGCAUGUGAAACCAAGCAGGUCCUUAACCUAUGGUUGUGGCACCACACAGUACAUAGUAUUUAAUAAUGCUAUUCGUUUGGUAUGUGCACAAGGGCACGCAUGAAAUGUCUGGCCCACGGUAAACAAGUACGGACGCUGCAAAUAAUCUACUCUGCUCGUCCAGUCCCUAGCCUAUAAAUAGAUGCCAUGCUAGCUCUUGUUGUGCUCACAAUUAAUCCUGACUACACACGAGCUUCUCUCCCUGGCCAAGACACAAUCAUAGUAUGAUGAAGAACAUGGCACUAGCCGGCAAUGGUAUGAAGAACUUAAUCCUCGCUGUUCUCUUACUGUGUCUAGUUAUAGGGCAGAUACAAGUGGAAGCUAAGAGCUGCUGCCCAUCCAUUACUGCAAGAAAUAUCUACAAUGCCUGCCGUAUCACGGGUACAUCCCGUCCAACGUGUGCAAAACUGUCAGGCUGCAAAAUUAUCAGCGGGGACAAAUGCAAGCCCCCUAACGACCACCUCACCCUUGACCCGGACACUGGUAAAUAAUAAAUUUAUCUCACUUGAUUUCUUCGUGUUUUGAGUCGUUAAUGUAUUUUCCAUCUGAUGAAACGUAUUGGUUUUGCAUUGAAGAGGAAGUUAAUGUGCUUAACUUCUGCAAGUUGGGGUGUGCGUCGUCUGUGUGCAACAACAUCAACGCUGGUAAGCACCUUUUGCUCAGACGGAGAAAACAAUAAUCAUUAAUUAGCGGCAGCUAGAAUCCUAUAAUCUAAUAUAUUUAUAUAUAUAUAUAAUUUUAUCAGCUCUGGGAAAUGAAGAGGCGAACGAUGCCGUUGAGAGUUGCGACCAAGCCUGCUCUAGCUUCUGCAACGUGCACGUUGGCGCUGCCACCGUGGUUGCUUAAGCAAAUGCAUCCAACUGGAUCGUCCUUGUGCUAAAUAAUUGGAUAUCGUAUCCACUUAAAGCUGCCUUGUGUAGUACGUUUUUGUUUGUGUCUCUCUUUAUAUUCCAAUAAGGUCGGUGAUCUUGAUGCCACACACUCAGACGUGUGUUCAUCUCCAGAUACUACUCCAUGCUACCUGCCCUUUGUGUUUUGUUCAAUAACUGGGUAUCAUAUCCCAGCCAGUGUGCCAUCUGUUUUGUGUUUAUUUCCUUCUAGUUUCAAAGGGGUUAUCAUGAUGUUACCUUCUUUCGAUAUGGUGCUUUGCAUGACUACUGUUGUAUGGUACCAUCUUGUUGGCCAAUAAAUACAUCUUAUCCUAUGACCCUUUGCUAUGACCCUUUGCAAAUAAGUACAAGAUUGUUAAAUACUCGGUAUAAAUUGACUACUGCUGUGAGUUCCCUUUCAGCUUAUCGUAGGCAUACAUUAUUGCUAGCACGGUGAAGACAACCAACACGAAUGGUCAAGUAAACGUACCGGUACUUUUGUAUACCAACACCCUUGCUUAAAUGUACCGGUGUUACUCCCCACUAGCACAUAUAUUCUUAUAUGCUAGCCGGCUUGAAAAUUAACCGAUUAAAAUAAUUAUUUCAAGACAGAAAUAACUUAUCGGCUUCUCGAAGCAUGUGUAAUGUGAAUUCAAGGACUUGAUGGAAGUUGAAUCGCUUAAUCUAGAUUGCUUUCAGGAUUUUGGGUAACUAAAUUUAACAUUUGCACAUACAAAUGUUAAUGUACAAAUAUUAAAUAUAGUUACCCAAGCAGAAUAUGAAGAUACUCUAUAGUAUAUAUAUACUAUAUAAAUCUAGUUAACAUUUAGUCUAAAUGUUAAAUCUAGUUACCUAAAAUCCUGAAAGCAAAAUGUAUAAAUAUAUAUCUUUUAAGGAAUCCCAAAGCAAGAGUUCAGUGGCAUUCUAUAGUCCCAUGCUGCUAGUUUGAGUUGGUCGAAGCCAACUUAAAUAGGAGAGCUCUCUCACUUCUCUAAAUACGUAACUGAAGGAGAGAAGGGGGCUUGGUUACACAACGCACGCACGCACGCAUAUUUGCGUUCUUUUCGCGUAACCAACCGCGUGACUUGAAACUUGCGACGUAGCGUGCUGCCAAGUCAAGUUGAUAUAACCUUUUUGCCGUAGGCGUGUAAUCUUUUGACAACGGUCAUUGGAGGUGAUAAGCACGCAGUCAAUACCUUAAUCCUGAG